CCUCAAUCUCCUAUGUGGUUUUACUCUUGGAUUGUUGUUUGAGUUGGAGCACUUGCAAUUUUCUUAAUUUAUGCUUCAUUUGUUAUUGUUUCAUCGCCGAUUGGUGCCAGGUUCAUGGAUAUUUUUACAGUAUAGGUAGUUCUGAGAAGUUAGAUGGAUCCGGAUCUCCCAUAAACUAUGUUUUGAAUAGAAAAAAUUAUGAUUAUAACACGAUUUUGUUGAAACCACAUUGUAUAGUUUUUAAAAGAUCAGAGUGAUACCAAACAAUCACCAAGUACUGCAGAUGUGUAAGAUAUUGCAGUUGCAGAAUAUAUUUUCCCUCUAAUACAUAAUUUAUCAAAAAAAAAUCUAAUUCUAAUUAUUGAGUAAAAACUGCCGUAAUUUAACAAUUAAAAAAAAAGAAAGGAAUAUUCUAGGAUCGAGUCAAUAUAAACAACAUAUUGCCUAGUAAUUUUGCAUAAAAACAAGAGACGGUUUAAUAUUUUAGGGUUGAAGAUUGAUGAAAAAGUUGUACGAAGAUGAAGAUGAGGGAAGAAGAUGAAUAAAUAAGAUGUUGGUGAUACACACUUUAAAUCUGAUAGAUCUCAUUUAUCCAACGGUCUUCUUUUCUUGAGGGUUUAAAUGAAUAAAAUAGGACCAAAUUUAAUGAUGGGAAGAAGAUAAAUGACCAAUUUAAAACUUUUAAUAGUUAGAGGAUCAAAUUGAAAAUUGAAAAUAAGUUAAGGGACCAAAUGAUACAUUAAACCUUAAUUUGAUCACAAAUUUCUUUUGCCUUGUUGUGCUGUAAUAAAGAUUGCAACGGGUUUGGUUUUGUUUUUGUUGCUUUUAUUAUUGAUUAAUGUGUUGGCAAUUGCGGUGCAGAUGCAAAUAUUCAUAGAGACCCAGGGUGGAGAGAGGUUCCCCCUGAUGGUUAAGAGUUCAGACAGGAUAUUCAAUGUAAUGGAGAAGAUUCUUGAGAAGGAAGAUAUCCCAGUGCACAAUCAAUGUCUGAUCUUCGACUAUAGGCGACUAGAUUACAACCUGACAUGCUUGUGCUCCACCAAAUUGGGGACUAGAUGACCACUGCGUCAUCACCAUUACUACAUCCAAGAGCAGGCAACCAUCCACCUUAUCAUGAAGACAAUCAGCCUAUAAGUAGAAAAGUCAUACAUUAUUGAUAGCAUAGAGUCUUUGACUUUUGUUCUUUUUGUUUUGUCUUGAGCUGUAUAACUGGGGAUGAUUUUCAGCAAUUGAAGAAACAUAUUUAUUUUCCAACACUAGCUGAAAUCGUAUAAUAAUUCUCACAUAAAUAGAGAUACAUAACAAUAACAUGCAGUGACUCUUGCAGUAGAGUCUAAUUUAACUGAAAAGAGUCGAGUAAUUUGAAUUCACUCAUAUUUACUUUUCAACACUGCCUGGUUAAAGCUAUCUUUCCACCACCAUAAGAUAAACAGAAAAAAGCAUGAAUGAUAGCUUUGUUUCUUAUGUCAAGUUGUCAAAUAUAUCAAGCAUUAUGUUUCAGCUCAUAAUAGAACAUGUUUCAUUAAGCACAAUAUAAAUUUAGAAAUUGUUAAUGUUAAAUUAUUGUGUUAUUCAUUAGUGCAUAAAACUAACUUUGAUAUCAAAUUAUUGUGAAGAUGUCACAUUCUUCGGAUCUAUUGUAGCCUGUAGGUGCAUUUUAGGAUGCAACCAUCACAAGACCUAAAAUUAGCUAUGCAGUAAAUAAAGCCUUGGAUUAUAACAACAACAUUUUAAUCUUUACCAAGUCCAUCAAGAAUGGCUUCCAACCGAACACGAUGGGAAAUAGGAACUCAGUUGAAGGUAAAUAACAUGAGUAAUGACUGAAAGUUAACUUGAUGCUUAACACAAACAGUAAUUGAAGAGAAGAGUGUCAUAGUAUUAGAUUUAGGUUUACUUGCAUUUUUUUCCUCUUAUGCAAUUUUGAUCCGCCAUUUAAUAUUUUGAGCAAUUUUAAUCCUUUAUAUUUUCUCCUUUAUUAUUAAAUACUUUUAUUUUGGAUUGUGAUCGGCCAAAGUAUUUCUCUGCCUCAUCACCGUAAACUUCGACAAAAAUCGAGAAGGGACUACGAAAUAGAAAAACUUUUGAUUGAUCAUAAUUUCAAAUAAAAAAGUAUUUGAGCACACAUACACAAAAUUAAAUAUGUAUUAAUUAUCGUAAGAAACACGUCAUUUAAAUAUUUUUUUCUUCUAUCUUUUAAUUUUUCUGAAUAGUUGUCUAAAAUCUUAUUAAACAAAACUUCCUCGAUCAUACAUCAUUUAUUGACAUACAUUUUUCUUUUUUUGUGGUGUCUGAGGUUCGAACCCCAAAUCUUGUAUAUAUUAUGCAUUGUCCUUCCCAACUGAGUUAAGCUUACGAGACACAUGACACUCAAUUCUUAUUACCAACCUAGCAUUUCUUUAAAAUUAAACAUUAAAAAUGACAAAAAGUUUAAAACCCAAUUGAGGGAUUUCAUUUGCACUCACAUAAAUGAGUUAAUUUUUGGCGUAUUUUAUUAUUAAAUUUGUUAUGAAGUCCCUCAAUGUAUAUAACAGUUAGGUGCUACAUGAAUAAAUAAUGUCUCGUUAGUGUUAAUUUCGGAGGAAAUUGGAAGGAGAAUGCCAAAUCACAAUAAAAAAAGAAAAAACAUGAGGCCAAAGAAAUGUAUACAUACAGAAACAGUUGAUCCAAAAGUACAUAAAGUAUAAAGUUAGUUGAUUUUCUUCGUAUGCAAGACCGUAUACAAUACGUAAUCUUCAUUUCGCUUCCUUCCUUCACAAUCUUACAUUACAUUACACCAUUUUAACCAUUUUUCCCGCACACACAAAUCACAAUCACUUCUCUUCUCUCUCUCUCUCUCACUACAAUAGAGAAAAGAGAGUGAAACCAAACCACACUACACGACGUCGUUUCACAGAUCCAUCCCCAAGACACAGAGCUGGAUCCCUCACAAGAUCCCAAACAAUAUCAGGCUCCACCUGCCACCACAUCCAACGGUCACGGUCAGAUCCGUUACCGAUCACUUUCCUCCACCGAACUCUCCGCCGUUCAAUCCACUUCUCCGCCUUCCGAUAACCACUCCUCCGACUCCGAAUUCACCAAAAUGCUCAAACGUCCAACGCGUCAGGAGUCACUCUCCGAUAAGAUCUACAGAUUCCGUGGCACUCUUCUCGUUGUCUCGAUCCCUAUCCUUCUCAUCACGUUUGUUCUUUAUAUGAUGCCGUCGAGCUCGAAUUAUGAUUCUGCUGGAGAUUAUGCUCUUCUUAAUCGGAAACUUUCGCCGGAUAAAAAAUCUGGUGGCUCUUAUGCUGUUAUUUUUGAUGCUGGUAGCUCUGGUAGCCGUGUUCAUGUUUUUCAUUUUGAUCAGAAUUUAGAUCUUGUUCACAUUGGCAAAGAUCUUGAACUUUUCGAACAGGUCAACACAAUUUUCUCUGCAAUAGGAACAUUAUCUUAUUCGAUAAAAUAAAAAACACUUUAUUAGGAGUUUAUUUUUAUUUAUUCCAUAAAAUUAUUUCAUGGUAUAUGCUAAAUAGUUUAUAUCUAGAUGCAAUAUUAUAGAUAUACAAUUAAGCACAAUACGAAAGCAGACAAGCAGACAUGUUAGUGUAUAUCUUUCCAUUAGUGCUUUAAACGCAGCUUAUGUAGUUUUGAUUUGUGUUUUGCAGCUUAAACCUGGUUUGAGUGCGUAUGCUCAGAAACCGCAGCAAGCAGCAGAAUCUCUGGUUUCACUUUUGGAGAAAGCAGAGGGUGUUGUUCCACGGGAAUUGCGAUCAAAGACACCAGUUCGAAUUGGGGUGUGUGGUUUUGUUUUUUGGCAUUGCAUUUCUGAUUUGUUUGUGUGUUGUUUUUAGGAAGGAAAUUUGAAUUGAAUUUAUGUGGUGAUGCAGGCAACUGCAGGUUUAAGGGCUUUGGAAGGGGAUGCAUCUGAUAAGAUAUUGAGAGCGGUAACUAUUGCUUUAUCUUUCUCAAUUUCAGUGGUUUUAGAAGCUGUCCACGUUUUAUUGAUUUAAAUUUCGUUGAUGUAAGGUAAGGGAUUUGCUGAAGCACAGAAGCUCCUUUAAAUCUGAUGCUGAUGCGGUUACAGUGUUGGAUGGAACACAGGAAGGUGCUUAUCAAUGGGUAUGAUUUAUGAACAUAAUGCUAUCAGUGAUUUAUUAAAGUUUUCUUAUUGCGUGCUCAUAGCUCUAGGCUGCCAUUCACUAGUAUUAUAUGAAUGCAUCACAAUUAGAAUGCAUCCUGACUAGUGGAGAAUUGACAAGUUUUUUUAUUAACACUGACUGCAUUGUUGUUAACUCGGUAGACUAAUUUAUAGGGAAUGCAUAUUUGAAACUGUCCCAUAUCCUUAAUAGAUUACCUGGUGGCUUUUGCCUUUUGAAAGAAUAGGGCCGAACAAAUUGUCCUCUUGUGUUGAUGAAGUAAGUUUUAGACAUACUUGUUCAUACAGUCUGACUUUUCCCUUCUUUCUAUCAAUAGUUCUAUCCUACCACAUCAAUCCACUCAAUAUUAAUAGGCCUGAUUUAUUGGAUUUGGAUCCUCUCAUGUUGGAAUUUAACAUGUGAGAGUUAUAUUGGUGAAUCUCAACAUUAAAAUCCACUUACAUAUAGUAAUGGUGAGAUCACCAACAUAACACUAAUUGUGUUGAAUUCCAACACUAGAGGAUCUUAAUCUUGGUUUAUUGAUUAAUAAAAACACACCUACUAUGUUGGCACCCCAACCCUACCACCUAUCACUUGUAACACCCUAAAAAUUUGUUAAUUAGAGAAAAAAGAUAACAAACUUGGGGGACUAAACCAAAACCCAAGGGGAAACCAUAACAUUUGCCUUAUUAAAAACCUUACCUGGAAAAUCCAUUGGGACAAAACCAUGUGAAGGGAAGAAAAGUGCAGUGUUUAAACAACAAUUAACAAAAUCUAUAUUCCAGAAACCCAUUUAAACAACAAUUAACAAAAUCUAUAUUCCAGAAACCCAAUUCUAUUCCUAGUAGAGGAGUGGUUUCCCACCAUUGGUAGGAACUUAAAUGAAUGCCUAAAUUUGCAAGUCUGUCAGCACUUUGGUUACCUUACCCUCCUGUAAAUACGAGACAUGAUGAAAGUCAUCUUGGUGGUGAGAACCAUACAAUUUCUCCAUUGAUUUCUAAGACUCCAAGGAGCACUUGUAUGGUUUUUGUAGGUAGAUAUAGAAGAAUUUUAUUUUAGAUACAGUGAUUAAUAAUAAUUAUUUUUUCGCUGUAUGCUAAGAAUAUCUUCUGGGCUCUGGUCAACUUAAAGGUGCUCUUUUAGUUUGAAGAAAGCAGUUAGUAAACAUGUUACAUUACAUAAGUUGGGAUGAACGUGAAGUGACAACUAUUAGAGACCACACUGAAACCUUAGAUGAACAACACUGUGAAAACUAAGAAUAUCUUCUUUGUUUACAACUAUUAGAGACCACACCGUAAUUAAUUAAGUUAAUAGUUUAGUCAUUACUGAAAUUUUAUUCUAUCAAUUUCUUUAUUAAAAAAAAGAGCCGGCAAAGUUAAAGAUAUGCUGUAUUUCUGAAACUGUAUUUGGUAGAACAGCCAGGUCAACCAUCUUGUGAAGACACAAGAUAUUUAAAAAUAUGGUUCAGUUUGAUAAGGUUUUACAGUACCAUAAUAGUUUCUAAAUAGGGAUGGGUGAUGGCAUCACACUGAUAACUUCUUUAAUUUUUUGUCAUAAAUGUUUUAAAAUAGUGAUUUGCAGUACUUUAAUAGUUUGAAAACUGGGAUGAAUAUGAACAACAUUAAAAAGAUUUAUAAAAUUUUGAAAUCAGGGUGGGCAUCAUUAUCAAAGUUAUAUAUAAUAUUGAUGAUAUGAAUUCUGAAGAACGACGUAGAACAUGUUGGCUACUUGGCUUGAUUCUAGUUCAUGAUUGUUAGAUUCCAAAAAAUUUCUUAUACUCAUAAUGCGAAAACAAGAUAUUUAAAAAUAUGGUUCAUUUUGAAAAAUGUAAAACAUUCAAGUAAUUGUUCCACUGGAUGAAUUUUGGCGUCAACUUAACAAUGAAAAGUGCGGAUUCCUCCGAAGAACUGCAUUAUGACUUAUGAGAUUUAUGGAUGGACAUCAUUCUUAGUGUUCUCAAAUAUGGAUAAUCUCAACUUGAUAGAUGGACAUAGGACGUUAGCUUGUUUCCUGCUUCUGAUUGUUAGAUUCCCAAGAUUUGAUUAUAAUUCUACCAUAAUGCAAGAUAAAUUUUUACACUGGAUAAAUUUAAUCAGAAUUAUUUCAACAAUGAAAAUUGAAAAGCUUAAGGUUCCCCUGUUUAAAUAAAAUUCUUUCAUAUGCUGUUUUUUUUAACAUAGUUGAAUUUUGUUUUUUCUAUUUGAAGAGGAUGAUGGUAUGAGGACUACUUAGAUAUAUCAGAAAAAUACAAUUUAUUUGAACUCUAAAAUCUAAUGAAUGGCCUUCAGAACACUAGAAAGUUAGAAAUCCUAUAUUUCCUCUAAAGGUAUACUGGAUAUAUUCUCAGGUAGCUUUUCCUAGCUUUCACACCGGUAAAUAAAACCUGUUCUGAUCAAAUAGUUUAAUAGUUAAAAGCAUCAAAUAUGAACUGCUAGUUAUUAUAAUAUCUUAAUUAUAAUUAAAAAUUUUGUGUGUUCUUGCUUCUAAGAGUAAAGAGCUGAUGCAGUAUUUUGUUUGUGUUACCUUGUCUCUUGUUUUUUUUAGGUUACAAUUAACUAUCUAUUAGGAAACUUGGGAAAAGAUUAUUCAAAGACCGUUGGGGUAGUUGAUCUUGGAGGUGGAUCUGUUCAAAUGGCAUAUGCCAUCUCUGAGUCUGAGGCUGCCAUGGCUCCACAAGUAAUGGAUGGAGAGGAUCCAUAUGUCAAGGAGAUGUUCCUCAGGGGAAGAAAAUAUUACCUCUAUGUUCACAGGUUUUUCUACUUGAUAUGCUUGUGUAUAAUGUCAUUUCUUUUCUUUGUUUACAGCCUUUAAUACUAAUAGCAUUAACUCAUGGACCUGGACUUGUUAAUAAAAAAAAAAACUCAUGGACCUGGAUGCAGAGAUUUUAAUACAGCCUUUAAUACUUACACUUUGCAGUCAUAGAUAUCUUUUAAUAGACUAAUAGAUUUUCUACUUCUUGCGCUCAGUUACUUGCGCUAUGGUUUACUAGCAGCUCGUGCAGAGAUUUUAAAGGUUGCCGGUGAUGCUGAAAACCCGUGUAUCUUAUCUGGCUCUGAUGGUAAUUACAACUUCUCCUUUCUGUAUGCCCGCCAGCCGGCACUAUUUUGAUUGAGUUGCAUUUCAUCUCUUUUGAUUAUCCCUUUCAUUAGUUGAUACGAAAAAAGAGUACCAAAUAAUUAUACUUUUUAUAUGCUUUUUCUUCAUGUCUUAAAAUUCUGAUGACAAGCGGAUUUUUUAAAAUUCUUAGGAACUUACAAAUAUGGAGGAAAGUCAUUUAAGGCUUCAUCUUCUGGAGCAAGCUUAAAUGAAUGCAAAAGUGUAGCUCACAAGGCUCUCAAAGUCAACGAGUCAACAUGUACACACAUGAAGUGCACUUUUGGUGGGAUAUGGAAUGGUGGAGGUGGGGAUGGACAGAAAAACCUAUUUGUUGCCUCAUUUUUCUUUGACCGGGCUGCCGAGGUAUUUAUUUUUUUCAUUUAACACUUCUUGGAAUAAUUGACAGAAUUGCUUCUAAUUCUACUGCAUUGUCAAUCUUAUCACAUUACUUGUUCACAGGCUGGUUUUGUUGAUCCAAACUCACCAGUUGCAAUAGUUCGUCCUGCGGAUUUUGAGGAUGCUGCCAAGCAGGCUUGCCAAACAAAACUCGAGAAUGCCAAAUCCACUUAUCCACGAGUUGAAGAGGGGAACCUUCCAUAUCUUUGCAUGGAUCUUGUAUACCAGUAUACAUUGCUUGUUGAUGGGUUUGGUAGGUUCUAUUCCAAAGUUUGGAUAGUUUAUACAUGACGGUGUUUCUACGAACUCUGAGUAACUUACUAUCUUCCUACGCUUAUUGCUUUCACUUGUUUGCAGGCAUAUAUCCAUGGCAAGAGAUUACAUUGGUAAAGAAAGUUAAAUAUGAUGAUGCCCUUGUCGAGGCAGCUUGGCCGCUAGGAAGUGCCAUUGAAGCUGUAUCAUCUACGUAACAGGACCGAUUUCAUGAGUUAGGUUACUCAUCCAAAAUCUUGGAGCAUGAAAUUUGUGGCGAAACACUGCCUGUCAUUCAUGGUGAUCAGAAAUUACUUCAGGCAAAAUUGGAAUUGGAUAUGGGUCUAUUUUUCAGGAAUAACGAGAGAUUAUAGCUUCAUUAUUUUUCAUACGUAAUUAAUUCACAAUAUAUCUGAUUUACAGCUCUGGCAGAUUCAUUCGAUUCAUUAAGUGCAUCUAUAUAUCUUGUCUGGAAAGAUGAACAAAAUGGUGAUGCUUACACCAUUUCAUUUUUGUUUAAAUGUUUUCGUUCGUGAUUAUAGUUAAUCCUUUAUUUCUUCUCGUCUUGUUGUGGCAUCUGGGACUAAUGAUUUUGGUAACUCUUACUUGUGAAUAUAGUCAAUUGUGGAUGAGUUCAUGUUAAUAACUCAACUUAUUUUGAGAUUCUUGCAUAGAAAUCUAAAGGAAAAUUUAUUAAUGGUAAUCAAAAUUUCAAAUAUUUUGAUCGAUUUUUGUAUGUACUAAUUCAAAACUGUCUUAGUAAAGCAUGUCCAUGCCUGUUAAAGUAUAGGGAAAGCAAAUGAUAAUAAUGUUUAAUGAUUGUUUGGAGUUUGGACGAUAUGACAAUGUGAAUGAUGUUUAAUGAUUGAUGAUGAUGUGGGUAUAACUUGACUCAAUUUGUAAUCUAUUGAUAAAACAAACUUAUGUUAAUCUGGUGUUCAGUAAUUUUUAUUUCUUGAGGAGCUGAUGAUUCAAUAUUUAUCAAUAGUAUUAUACAUAUAUGGGAUUUUUUUUAUUUUUUUUUGUUGAGAAAACAUAUAUGGUAAAUGUUAACUUGUGAUAUUUCUUCUUUUGGUUUUCUUAACAUGUAUUCUAAGGGCACAAGUUAACACUAUCCGUUUAGUAUUGUAUUUAACAUUAAGGGCACUUGUUAAGUUAAAAAUGGAGAUAAGUGAUAAAUUCAAGGUUAAAAAAUCAAUUUCUAAAAUUUAGAGUUGUUGAAUACAUCAUUUCUAAUAUAGUGGAUUUUUAGACACUUGUUAGCAUUUCCAUAAUAUUCUUCAUUGUAUUUUAUGUAACAUUAAAAUUAAAACGUUUCCUUCGAAAAAAAUUAAAAUGUUGCUUAAAAAAAUUGUUGACAUAAACUUCUUUCAACCAGGUGAGCAAGUUUUAAGAAUAUUUGCUGUGGGCGUUAACUCUGAAAACUAAAUAAAUGAAGGAUUAAAGUUGAAUAAUAUUUUUUUUACGUAGAGAUUAAAAAUAGUUUCAAUAUAUUAAAAUGUACCUCUUUGAUCCUAUUUACAAAAAACAAUUGAUUUUUUAGAAUAAUUUAUGUAUCUUAUUUAGAUUCUUGAUUAGAAACAUAAAUUGUCCAAUGUAUCUAAAAAAUCAACUUUUUUUUUAUAAAUAUGAGCGGAAGGAGUACACUAUUUUAGAACUAAACCCUUGUGCCUAUUUUGUUUUUGAAGGACCUUACUUGUGCCUAUAUGUCUAAAAUAAGAACAUUUAAGAAUUGAACCGGAUAUCAAACCAAUUAAGUCUUUGAGUUAUAAUUCAACUACUUUAAACUAUUCGAGCUGUGAAAUGUGAUGACCGUGUUUACACUUUUUUCCCUUUCCUUGUGUAAAUUACAUCACUUAACGCUUCAACUUUACUUCUCUCUGAGUCAUUUUCACAAACACCUUUGCCUACAAACUUAAAAUAAUUCGGUAAUCAUACUCUUCCGCUCUAUCCAAUUUCAAAAUUGAUUUCAUUAUCUUUAUAUCAUGAUCAGAAUCAGAUCUAACUUAUCUGUUUUUUCUAUUGCUCUAUUACGCAUAAGGCAUAACGCAAUCACUGUUAAUCACUGUGAUAUAGUUCACAAGCCUCUUAUGAAUGCUUCUUUCAAUGCUUUUAAUUCUUCAAAUUAUUACACUUUUUUCGCUCCACCGAAAUUUAGUUUUUCAGUUAGGUUCUUUUCUGCUGAAUCCUCAAGUGACGAUGACUAUAAUGAAGAUGACGGUGAUGAUGAUCAUGAUAAGAAUAGUAGUCAGUUACAUUUAAGGGAUGAUGGUUUUGUCAAAGAUGUUAAGACCAUUUUGGAUAUAAUUCACAAACCGGGUUCUGGGCCCUAUGAAAUUAAGCAGAAGCUUGAGGAUUGUAAUGUUAAAGCAUCAUCGGAGUUGGUUGUGGAGGUUCUUUCGAGGGUUCGCAAUGACUGGGAAGCAGCUUUCACUUUUUUCUUGUGGGCUGGAAAGCAACCGGGGUAUGAUCAUUCGGUUCGCGAAUAUCAUUCAAUGAUAUCUGUUCUUGGUAAAAUGAGGAGGUUUGAUACUGCUUGGGCCUUAGUUGAAGAAAUGAGAAGAGGAAAAACUGGUGAAUCUAUUGUUACCCCACAAACUCUUUUGAUUAUGAUAAGGAAAUACUGCGCUGUUCAUGAUGUUGGUAGGGCUAUAAACACUUUCUACGCUUUUAAGCGGUUUAAUUUUCAAGUUGGAUUGUACGAGUUUCAAGGCCUUCUUUCUGCGCUUUGUCGGUACAAGAAUGUGCAGGAUGCUGAGCAUUUACUGUUCUGUAAUAAGAAUGUUUUCCCACUUGACACCAAAAGCUUUAACAUCAUUCUUAAUGGAUGGUGCAAUUUGAUUGUUAGCGCGCGUAAUGCAGAGAGGAUCUGGGAGGAGAUGAGUAAGAGACGAAUCCAACACGAUGUUGUCUCGUAUGCAAGUAUCAUAUCUUGCUAUUCAAAGUCUUCUAAACUUUAUAGGGUGCUCCAGCUGUUUGAACAAAUGAAGAAAAGGAAUAUCACUCCUGAUAGGAAGGUUUAUAAUGCAGUCAUUUUUUCUCUUGCGAAGAAUAGGAUGGUGAAAGAAGCUGUAAAUCUUAUUAUAAAAAUGGAAGAUAACAAUGUUACUCCGGAUGCUAUUACUUACAACUCCCUGAUCAAACCUCUCUGCAAAGCCCGCAAAAUUGAUGAAGCAAAAGAAAUUUUCAAUGUGAUGUUGGAGCGAGGCAUAUCCCCGUCCAUUCGGACUUUUCAUGCUUUCUUCCGAAUAUUAAGAGUCAAGGAAGAAGUAUUUGAGCUUUUGGACAAAAUGAAAGAGCUAGGGUGCAACCCAACUAUCGAGACAUAUAUAAUGUUGAUAAGAAAGUUUUGCCGGUGGCGCCAGCUUGAUGAAGUCAAAAGGAUAUGGAAUGCAAUGAGGGAAGAUGGAAUUGGCCAUGAUCGUAGCUCGUAUAUUGUACUGAUUCAUGGUCUGUUUCUGAAUUGUAAGGUGGAGGAAGCAUACAAAUAUUAUAUAGAGAUGCAAGAGAAAGGUUUUCUCCCUGAACCAAAGACAGAAAGUAUGCUUCAGGCAUGGCUUUCUGGGAGACAAGUAACAGACAGCCAGGCAACAGAUCUAGAACACAAUCAAUUGGAACAUGGUGGUCUUAAAAAGAGUGUCAAACCUAUACAAAGUAAAUUUGAUAGGGAAAAGGAUUUUCUUCGCGAACCCGAGACCAGAAGUGUAUCAAGAGAAGGAGGCUUUUCUUUCUGGGAGAAGUAAAUCGCUAUCCAACAAGAGGUUAAUUUGCAUUUCCUUUGUCUACGAUGAAGGCAACGCUUGUUGGUCACUAUACUUUUCAAAUUUAUUGAAUGCUCCAAACAGGUGCUUGGCAUGCACUUUUGUUAUUGUCUAUUCAGACUUCAACUGCCUUGCCUUAAACAAGAGCUGCAAGAUGGAUGCAACUUUUAAAAAAACAUAGGUUUGUUAAUUGUUACAAAAUUGGAAACUUUUGGUUAAUUUGUAGUGAUAUAGUCAUUGUACUGGUUGACCUUGGGGGUUUGUUGUAAUACAGGAGCUGAAUUUAGGUGCUUAUAUGUAACUUUAAGCGCAUCACCAAAGGUAGAAUCAGUUUAGAGUUCUUAACUUAUUUUUAGUUAGCUCUACAAUGCUUCAUCAAUACUAUGAACAUUUGCAUCUUUUCACUUUAAUGGUGCAACUCUUUAAGAGCUUAAAAAUGUUUUACAAUUGCAAGUUAUUUCAAAUAUUUGUGUUUUAAAAUGACACAUUCUUUUGAUAGUUAAGAACCAGUUCUUACAUGUAGCAUAUGUGUUAUCCACCUCCAAUAGUAGAACUUGUAAGAACUGUUUUAUCUCUAUGAACCCUACUAACAAGUAACAAUUUCCAUUGGAGAUAAAUUCCAAACAAGUGGAGCUAGAAACUUAAACUUCUGCUAUGAUGCUUUUGAUUGCCGUUUAAUAAUGUCAAUUGAUAGUUAGCACCGAUAUGAAGUAAAAUAAACUAGCAUAUACCAAAGGAAUUUAUUAACCAUGAUGCUGUAGUAAAAUCUUAAUAUACACCUCGAUUUAGAUUGCGAUUAUUAUUUUUCACCAUCCUUCAACUCUUGAUACCUUGAAGCAUCGAAACUUUACCAACAUAUGUCAUAUCAGCAAGCAUGAAAGAUAUGAUACAAAAGUUUCAGAAAUUACCAACACCAAAGCUGCCCAAAGAGCUGAAUAAGGCAGCCGAAAUUGGAAAGCCAAACACCAAACUGAAAAGAUGACUAGUUUGACAAAGAAUGAUAAACAAAUAUGCAAACAAUAAGCCUCAUCAAAGGCGAGAGGCCAAUUAAUUGUCGAGAAACACAGCCCAUACCUCGCGAUACCUUGAUACGCCAGCAGCAAAACUCCCGAAACAGAUGUGAUGCCAAGAUGAAACAAUCCACACCAGAGAAAUAGCACACCUGAAACAACACCAAAAUCCGUCCAAAGAAUAAAUUAAGAUAACAUGUCACAACAAGAUUGGCACCUUAGAUCCAAAGUGAUACUUGGAAAUCCAUACUCCUUGACAUUACACCAAAUGAAAUGAAGUUAACAAAGAAUGCUAAACAGAUAUGCAAACAACAGCCUCCUCAAAGGUGAUAGUCCAAUUAUUGACAAACACGGCCAGAAUGUCGCGAUACAUAGCCUCGCCAACAACAAACUUCCGAAACAACUACGUUGCGAAGAUGGGACAAAUGAAGCCAAAGAAAUAACUCCAAUCCAUUGAGCCACCCCACAUAAGUCUUUUAGGUUUCUGCUGAAACUGUACACCGAAACUGAAAAUAUAAAAUUCAAUACACCACAGAAAGAGCCAAAACAGAUAUGAAUGAAUAAAUCAAUGAAAAUCCUGACAAAAUACUCUCACUUUAUAUCCUAUAUUAUGUAUGAACCACUCAAUAAUCCUCCCACUAAUUGUCACUCCUCUCUUGGUUAGCAAAUCAGCAGAAUUGUUGGCUUCCCUGUUCACUCCUCUCUUUUGUAUUUUCUGUCAAAAAAAAAAACUUUUGUAUUUACGUACUUCCGCAAUAGCUGAAGCUCCAUUUGAAUCAAUGUAGCAUGUCUUAAAACUUAAUGUAUUAAACUUUAUAUGGAGGGUAUUCUUCCAUUGGAUGGAUUUGCUUCCAGGUAAUUGUAAUGAAAUACUACUGGCUUUAUACUAUCGAAAUCUUUAGUCUUAAUUGCCACAUGUUGAUUCUUAUCAAAGUGGUUUCUGAAAGAAUUUGCGGAUUCAGGCGGCAUUUAGUCUGUGGUUCUUGCACUUGCUUGAUGAGUUUAUGAUUUUUUUAUUUGGUUGUAAUUUUUUUUUUCCUGCUUUCAUAGCAAUGCAUGGUUUUGUCAAAUGCAAUGGUUUGUAGACCUAAUUGAUGUGUGUUGUGCAAGAAACGAAGUAAGGAAGUACAAGUGUGUCACUCCUUGGUGUAUAUGUAAAGUUCUAAUCAUCGAUUAUUUUGUACAUGCUGCUGGUCUUUCAAAUUCUUCUUCCAUGAAAAGUCCAUUUGGGAUUGAAAUCAGUUUGGAUAUUGUUUGAAAAUUUAUAAGCGAUUUAAUUUGAGCAUGCUGCCAUUUAUCAUACACCACUAAAGCUCUUGAUAAUAUAUACGACACAUUUUCAUCGAGUAUCUAAUGCCAAAACCUUAAGUUUCUACUUUGCAAGAAAAUUCCAAAGUUUCACAUUAGCAACAUCCAAAGUUUACAACAUGCCAAAGAAGUCUGCAAUGCAAUUGAUGCUAUUAGAACAGUGAUUUACAGCAACAUAUGAGUCAUUUCUUGUCCAUAUAUCCUUAGCUAACUCACAUGUAACAACAGACAUGCACGCAAAUUUCAAAUGAUUUCUGCAGUUUACACAUGAGGUUCUAGUAGGUAAGCACCCUUUUAGUAAUUGGAAAUUACUAGCGCUGCUAGUGCUAAUUCCACCUCUUGAAAACAACUACGCACAUGAUAGGUUAGAAACUAGGAUUUUUUUUCUUUUUAGAAAAGAUUUGGUGCCUUUUAUUCCUUUUUUUACAUUGUUAAAAAAAUAAACAUGUUCAGCGUGCAGUGCUUUAAGAAAAAAAUAAGGGAGUAGGUUGAAACUUUAAGGAAACAUGUUUGUUAUAUUUUGUUUAAAAAAUAAAAUAAAAUAUACAAUUUUAUCCUUGACCUAAAACAUAUUUUACAUAGAUAGAAUUAAGUUUUUGAGUUUUUUUGCUUGUUAAAAAAAUAUGAGUUUUUUGGUCAAUAACAAACAGGUGUAGAUUAUUAACUUACUAUUCAUGGUUUUUUUUUUUUUUUUUUUUUAACCCAUAUAUAUAAGGGAGUAGUCUUAUAGCUAAAAUUCACAUUUUAAAGUAAAUGAAUGGGGUGUUAGAAUUCGAACAUCAACCCAUAUAUAUAAGUCCACGACACAUGAGUUAUGCUCUCGGAAACGACAACUAAUCACGAUUAUUUGUGAAUAUAGCAACUCUUUUUGUACAAAAUCGUAUUUUUUUUUUUAAUAAUUAUCUCUCCCCUCAUGAAUCUCGUGUUAUAGUGGGUAAUGGAAUUAAAUAAACAAUUUCAAAAGAAUCUUCAUAGUCUAAGUUUUUUUUUUUUUUGUUGGAAAGAAUGGGCAAUUCCAAAACAAGUACCAUCCCAAAUCAGGCAAUACUGCACUAUAGGAAAAAAAAUCAGGAAAAUACAUUGGUGCAUAUGGAGCGUGUUCUUUGUUUGAUGCUAACUUCUAUUUUUAGGAAAAUACAUUGGAUAAGUGAACUUGAAGAUAUAUAUUUGGUGACAAAUUUUCAAUCAAAGGUGCAUAUAUGUCAUAUUUUAGCAUUGCAUUGUCCCCUUUAUGUGAUAUUGCGUGGAGUAAAAGUUUUUUUUUUUUGUUAAAGGUCUCGUCGUUUGUAUGAAGGUUAUUGCAAAAUAAUUUUUUUGCAAAAGACAAUCUUGCACGUUAUUGAGCAUUUUUGUGGAAUUACGUUGUGUUGGUGGAUGCGUCUGCCUUUAAACAUCUUAACUCUUAUUUUUGGAAUGUGCAUUUUUUGUUAAUGUUUACUAUAGCUUAGUGCUUGUUUGGCUGGAUAUUAGUUGUCUCAUGCCAAAUAGUAUGUCGAAACAUGCUUAGUCAUUUGGUGGUAUAUGCUUGAAUCGUAAAGUGUAUCGUCAAAUGUUGCGUGCAAUUUAGAUGUCCGUGUAUGAUCUUGAAAAGCUCAAAAUAUCAAUAUCUUUUAACAAAAAGAGCUUCUCAUAGUCAUGGGUAAUUUUUAGAAUAUAUUAAAUUUAUGUCAUGGUGAUGGCUCAUGGUAAUCUUUAGAAUCUAUUCAAAGUUAAGUUACAUAAAUCGCGGACACAUCUUACUAUAUGUUUGAGGUCCAUAGCUUGAGCGUUAUGCUUUAUUCAUUUUUUGUGUUGAUGGCUCAUUUGUAAUUGGUUUUGUGUUGAUUUUUUUUAUUGUGAAUUGUAGUAAUAUUUUGUGUCCUUGCCAUAUAUUGUGCCACAUUUAAACAAUGUGUUGAUUCGAUCAAGAUUAAGAUACUAGUAUAAUAAUUAGAGCACCAAUGCCACAAUGUCAUUAAUUAGUCCACCUUUAACAGCGGCAUAUAACAUAAUUUAAGAGAAAGAAAACGCAAGUUAAUCGUGUCUUUUAAAUAAUUAAUUGAUCUUCACCUUUUCCAGUUAUACAUAGUGGGUUGUGAAUUAUGACAAACACAUGAUUAAGCUGGUUAAUUAACCUGUGACCAAUUUCAGAAUUAUUUUGCUCAGUCCAAAAAAUUAAGAUUAUGGAGUUCCUAAUUACACUAAUCACCACUGUUCUACUCUUGUUAAUGCCUGCAAUCACUUCCUCACAAUAUUUAGGAAACAACCUACUCACUAAUCGAAAGAUUUUCCAAAAACAAGAAACAAUUUCCUCUUAUGCUGUCGUGUUUGAUGCUGGUAGCACUGGUAGCCGUAUUCAUGUUUACCAUUUUGAUCAGAACUUAGAUCUUCUUCAUAUUGGCAAAGAUGUUGAGUUUUUUAAUAAGGUGACAAUAACAUUUUAUGCAUCACAUUUUUUUGUUCUUUUUUUUUUUUUGGUACAAUUUUUUUUGUUCUUCUUGAUUACUAUGAAGUUACUCCCUACGAUCUUAAAUAUAAUAAAAAAGUCAAAUGUAUUUGGUCCAAAUUUAAAUCAAAUAUAUUUGACUUUUUGAUUAUAUUUAAGAUGGAGGGAGUAUAUAUAUGUAAAUGUAUUCAUAUCAAUCGUUAUUCUCUUCAAUACUUACUUCAGUGUAUUAUGUUGUAGAUAACACCUGGUUUGAGUUCAUAUGCAAAUGAUCCGGAACAAGCUGCAAAAUCUUUGAUUCCACUUCUACAACAAGCAGAAAAUGUGGUCCCUAUUGAUCUACAUCACAAGACACCGAUCAGACUUGGGGUAGGUUUUUUCUUUGAUUUGGUGCAGUCACAAUCAUAGAUUCACGCCGUAAUCACAUUGAUGAUCGUUAGAUCAAAAUAUGCAGAAAGCAAACGAUUAAAAAAAUAAUUAAAAUUUCAAAUUUCAAAUCUGGACUGUCUGAUCUUGUUCCAACAAUCAUUGAUUUGUUGACUACGCAAAUGUGCAAUUUUUUUUUUGUAUGUUAACCCUCGCUUCUCAAGAAAAAUGGGCCCUGCUAAUCUGAUGUUCCGGCUAGAAUGAUCAAGAAUUGUUCCACCCGGAAAUAAAUGAAUGAAAUGUGUAACAACAUAUUUUUUAUUUUUGGUCUAUGUUUAUAUAAUUAGUGACAGAAAAUAUCAAUUACUCUGAUAAAAAAUAAAUCAAAUUUAUUAUCACUUUUAAUUGUUUCAAUAUGUAAAAGGAUUAAAUAAUUUGUAACAUAAUUUGCAUGAUAAUAUUAUUGCAGGCAACCGCAGGUUUAAGGCUUUUGAAUGGGGAUGCUUCUGAAAAGAUAUUGCAAGCGGUAAUUAUUAGUUUAAUUUUGUUAUUUUAUGUUUCAAUAUUAUAAUUAGCAGUUAGAUCUAAACUUUCCAUGCUUAAAUUAGAGCUUAAUUUUGUGUUCUUAAUUAAUUACCUUAGGUAAGGGAUAUGUUCAGCAAUAGAAGUACCUUCAAUGUUCAACCUGAUGCAGUUUCUAUUAUUGAUGGAACCCAAGAAGGUUCUUAUCUCUGGGUAUGACAAAUAUAGAACUAAAGAAUUUAAUUUUUAUUGUUUAUAUUCAUAUCUCUUUGAGAAAUAAUAUGAAUUUAGAAAUAAUGAUCAUUGUCAAAGUCAAACGAUUUCAAUGAUCUACUACGUAAAAAAUCCUAUGCAUUGGUAUUAAUUAUUUUCAUUAUUUUCUUAAUAGGUGACAGUUAACUAUGCAUUGGGGAAUUUAGGGAAAAAGUACACAAAAACAGUGGGAGUAAUGGAUCUUGGAGGUGGAUCAGUUCAAAUGGCAUAUGCAGUGUCAAAGAAAACAGCUAAAAAUGCUCCAAAAGUUGCUGAUGGAGUUGAUCCAUACAUUAAGAAGCUUGUACUCAAGGGAAAACCAUAUGAUCUCUAUGUUCACAGGUUUCCUUCUAAUUCAUUAUAUACUAUGAAGCACAUACAUGGACACGAACAUCAGACACGACACUGACACAAACACGUCAAUACAGAUAAAAUUUUAGUUGCAUAUAUAUCAUGGCUAAUAAUAUAUUGUUUCUUUCAGUUACUUACACUUUGGUAGAGAAGCAUCUCGAGCUGAGAUUAUGAAGGUCACUCGUAGUUCUCCUAACCCUUGCCUUUUAGCUGGAUUUGAUGGUAAACACAAGUUUGUUUCACAAGUUAUUGAAGUUUCAAAUUGUUAGUUAUUUGUUAAAGCUGAAAAAAUCUUCGAUCACACUAUUUCGUCUAUGAUAAUUUCAGAUAAUAAUUUGAUUGAAAAAAAAAACUUACAUGAUCAAUGAUUUCAAAGUUUCAAAUUUCAGUAUAUUUUUAUGUUUAUGUAUUUUAGUAGCAUGUUAUGAUAUGCCAAUAACAUAGGAUUAUUUUUGGUUCUUAAAAGGGACCUACACAUAUGCUGGAGAGGAGUUUAAGGCCAAAGCCCCUGCUUCUGGGGCUAAUUUUAAUGGAUGCAAAAAGAUAAUUCGUAAGGCACUUAAAUUGAACUAUCCAUGUCCCUAUCAAAAUUGCACUUUUGGUGGAAUUUGGAAUGGCGGAGGGGGAAAUGGACAGAAACACCUUUUUGCUUCUUCAUCUUUCUUUUACCUACCUGAAGAUGUAUGUAAUGUAUUAUUGUUUUCUUUUAUAAAUUUGAUGCUAUUUAAUUAAGCCUUGCUAAUUACAUUGUCAAAUUAUUAUUUUAGGUUGGUAUGGUUGAUCCAAAGACACCUAAUUUCAAAAUUCGUCCUGUGGAUCUCGUGAGUGAAGCUAAGAAAGCUUGUGCAUUAAACUUUGAGGAUGCCAAAUCCACUUAUCCAUUUCUUGCUAAGAAAAAUAUAGCUUCAUAUGUAUGCAUGGAUCUUAUAUAUCAGUAUGUGUUGCUCGUUGAUGGAUUUGGUAAGUUUUUGCUACGAAAGUUGAUAGCUUUGUUAUUUUUUCAUUUAUUUUUAUGAGUUGAAAAAUUACGAUUCCAUGCCAUAAUUUUUUCAUGCAUUCACAUAGUCACGACUUUAAUGGCUGUCCGGUCAAGAUCGGACGGUUCAGAAAAAUCAGAUUUAAUUUUUCUAAAAAUACAGAACUUAAAUUAUAGUCAUCCGAUCUUGACGUGUGAUUGCAUGUAAGCUAAGUGUGACGAUGAUUUAUAACUUCGAUCUUUGUAAAGAAAUAUUGUACACUAUAAUGUUUUCAUGCAAUAAUUGCUUCCAUUUUAUUGGCAGGCUUAGAUCCAUUGCAAGAAAUUACAUCGGGGAAGGAAAUUGAAUAUCAAGAUGCUGUUUUGGAAGCUGCAUGGCCUCUAGGCAAUGCUGUAGAAGCCAUAUCAUCGUUACCUAAAUUUGAACGAAUGAUGUAUUUUGUUUAAACUUUUGGAUGUUACUACAAGAUGUUCCAGCACUAGAAGGCAAUUCUGCGUAAAAUGAAAUAAAUUAAGUCCGACAUGUUUUUUCUAUUGAGAAAGUUUAUUUUCAAUAUUAAUUUGUGUUGUUUAUGAGAAUAUGACGUUGAGAAUAUCCCUGCAUAUAUGCAAGUUUAGAAUAUACCUUUCAAUUUGAAAUUCAACUCAGGACUUAAAUUUCUAAAAGAUCAAGAUUGACAGAUUUACGAUCACUACUACAGAAAUGACAUUUCACAUUAGUGGAAUUCGACUUUUCAAAUCGGAUCCCACCCGAUGUAACUAAAGGUGAUGUUGUAUGUCCACCCCAUUUCACAUCGGGUAUUUGCCCGAUGUGAAAUAUGCUUUUGCACAUCGGGUUCUUUAGCCUUGAUGUGAUAAGUGUCGUUAAGAGCAGCACAUAAGGGUUUUCACUACGGCGAGACGGUGAGAACAAUGGCGAGAACGACAUCGAUUGAGUGAAAACGACAACCCAAUUGGGUGAAACGUUGAGAAUGACGACGAUUUUAUGAGUGAGAACAAUGGCUUUCAAUGAGUGAGAUUAUUAGCAGAAGAUGAGUAUUAACGCGAUUGAAACGUGAAGGUUAAGAGAAAGGGGAUCUCAAAGGUGAAAGGGGAUCUGAGAUCUACAAGAAACGUUUUCUAUUGGUUAAGAGAAGUUUAGUCAAAAUUGCGAAAUUGCCACCGCUUUUGUUUUCCCCUCAUUUAAAAAAUCCACCGAAGGGAAAUGUUAUCGGUUAUUUAGUUUUACCCUCAGCUACUUGGGUCCACGGAUGUGAAAGAUAAAUCCAACUUCAACAAAAUUUCAAAAAUGCCACCGUGCUAGCUUUCCCUUUAGCUACUUUGUCCAAUGAUGUGAAAUCCCUAUUGUGAAAUGUAUAUUUUCUAGUAGUGGAUGUUCAAUUAGCUUGGGAUUGUUGUUUGUCUGAUUAUUGUCCCAUUGUGUUGAUUGUCGAUGAAGAUAAUUGGAGUCCAAAACUAUUGUGUAUGUUGAAAAGUUGGGACGAAUUUUUCGGUUAUAAAGAAUCAGAUGCUGGUUCUUGAUAAUAAAGGGGAGGAGAAAGAGUUAUCGGAGGAGGAGGAGGUGAAGUAACUUCAUUCUCUUUCAUCCCAACUGUUCUCGCUAACAAAGUUUCAUAUAACAAUGUGUAGUGGCAAACACAUAGACUAAAUUUAAAUUGGCUUAAAGAAUGGGAUGCCAACAUAAAAUUCUUCCAUGGGUUAAUGGCUAGUAGACGAAGGAUCAAUUCUAUUAUUUCUAUCAAUGUUAACAGUGCUCAAGUGGAAGGGGUCACCAAUGUUUGAGCGAUAGUUUUUCAUCAUUUUGCCAACCAUUUAAGUUAGACUCUGUUUGCCAAUCAUUCAAGACUCUUAGUACUUUGGAAAGCGACGAUCUAACUCGACCAUUCAGUGAGGAGGAGGUUAAACAAGCGGUUUAAGACUAUGACAGUUACAAAAGCCCUGGUCCUGAUGAUAUUAAUUUUGGCUUCAUUAUGGAGUUUUAGUUCGAGAUUAAAGCAUAUGUUUUGUGAUUCCUAUAUGUGUUUCAUCAAAAUGAAAAACUGGUGAAAGGCUUUAAUUGUACCUUCAUAGCUUUAAUUCCAAAGGUUGAAAAUCCUUAGCGUCCGGCCGAACUCAUACCCAUUUCUCUUGUUGGUUACAUUAACAAAGUGUUGGCGAAGGUCUUAACCAAUAGGAUUCGUCAGGUAAUCGAAACUUUUAUCUCUAAUGCUCAGUCUGAAUUCAUCAAAGGUCCUCAAAUUCCUGGUGGGAUUCUUAUCGCUAACGAAGUUGUGGAUGAAGUACGCAAGAAAAAAAAGAAUUAUUUAAAGUUGACUUUGAGAAUUGUUUUGACUUAGUGGACUGAAAAUAUUUUAGAAGUGGUAAUGGGGAAGAUGAUUUUUCUAGUCUUGUAAAUGGAUCAUGGAAUGCGUGAGAACGACUUCUAGUUUUGAAAGCUAACUUUUUUUUAGGCGAUGUUAGGUCUCAAGGUGAAUUUUCAUAAAAGUACGUUGAUAAGGGUAAAUAUGGUCGCUUCUUGGUUGGCUGAGGCGGCCUCGGUGCUGAACUGAAAAUUACAAUGUAUCCCUUUUAUUUAUCAUAAAAUUAUGAUAGAAGGUGAUCCUCAUCGUAUGAGUUUAUGGUAUCCAUUGCUUGAGUGCUUAAAUAAAGGUUAUUUGGGUGGAAAAGCUGGAAUUUGUCUUUGAAUGUCGCUUGGUUCUUCAUUAAUAUGUCAUGUUAGGAAAAUAAAUUUGAUUAAAAGAAAUAUUGUUUGUUUAGACAAGGAUAAUGGAGGUCUGGUGGUGCGCAUGAUUAGGGAACUUAAUUUGGCAAUUUUAGAAAAAUGAUGUUAGAGGUUAUAUCAGGAUCAAGAUAAUAUUUUGUGAGGGAGAUCUUUUGAGCUAAGAUCCUCCCCAUUUAUGUUCUUCUCCAUUUCUUCCAUUUGGAGAGAUAAAGACACAAAAAAGUUUUAAAAAAAAAUAUAAUUCAUGAUGGUGGGACUCACUUAAUGGUAGGACCCACUAUUUAUUUUUUGUGUCUAUCUCUCUUCAAAUUGCAUCCUCCAUUUAUUUUACCAAACAGAAAGGAUCCUUUCUCAUGUCUUUUGGGGUCCGCUUGGAGUUAGAAUCCUCUCCAUUUAUAACUUUCUCCAUUUCUUCCAUUUUGAGAGAUAAAUACACACAAAAAAUAAAAAAUAAUUAAUGAUGGUGGAAUCCACUUAGUGGUAUGACCCACAACCUAUUUUUCGUGUGUAUCUCUUUAUAAAUGGCAUCCUAUAUUUAUUUUUAUAAAUGGAGAUGAUCUUUACCCGUCAACUUGAUGGAAAGUUUUGAUAAAUAUUAAAGGAUGUUUGGAGUUGGGAGUGGGUAGUUGGUUUGAUGAAAAUUUAGUGAGAGCGGUGGGAAAUGCAACCAAAAAUUUCUUUUGGUUAGAUCCGUGGCUGGAGGGUGACCCUUUAUGUAGUAGAUUCAAACAUUUGUUUGUUUUGGCUAAAAAUCAAUUCAUUUAUGUUACCAAGAUGAACUCUAUAGGUUGAAAUAUUGGGGAGACACUUGAAAGUGGCAGCGCGUGUUACUAAUAUGGGAGGAUGGACAUGUAGGGGAGUGUUGUGUUUUGCUCGAUAACUUUUUUUUGCACGAUGGUGUGGAUGAUUCUUGGGAUUGUAACCUUGACCGAUGAAAAGGUUAUUACGUCACUGAUGUGUACCACAGGUUGUCUAAUGUGGAAAUAUUCGACCAACCAAAUAUAUAUAUGAUCCUUUUUGGAACAAAUUGUUUGCUUGGAGAUUGUUACAUAAUCGGCUUCCAACCAAGGAUAAUCUGCUUUGAUGUCGAGUUCUUCCGCCUAACUCCAAUUUGUGCACCAGUGGAUGUAGUUAGGAGGAAAAUGCUAAUCAUCUAGUUUUGAGUUGCAAUCACUUCUGAAGUCUCUGAUUUCUUGUUCUUCAAUGACUAGGAAUUUCAUCAGUUUGUUCAAAUGUUCUUGCCGACCAUUUUAAUCAAUUUUAUGAUAUAGGAAGUCAUUCUCUAAAUGUUCAAUCUUCACUCCAGUUGAUUUGGUAGUUUUAUGCUUGGGUAAUUUGAAAGGAGGUAAACUACUGCAUCUUUCAACAUAAGGAGUCUCUAAUGCAUCAAUUACUUGAUAAAGUGAAAUUUAUUUUCUGUUGGUGGUUGAAAGCGAAGAAUGAUAGUUUAGCUUUUGAUUUUCACCUUUGACGGCUAAAUCCUCUUCAAAGUUUGAGUUUUGUUACCUAGCAUUUGUCUUUUAUAAUUUUUUAUGCUUCUUUGACUUUGUUUCUUCGAAUGUUAUAAUUCCUCGAAUUCUAUUUUAGUACUCCUUGUAUUGGUUAGGAUUCUUCGUUGGUUUUAAUAUAAUUCAUAUUGCAUUCUCUUCAUAAAAAAAUAUAAAAGACAAAUGAUUUAACAACAAAUUUUAUUAAUAAUUUUGCAUGCGUAAAUAAAUAAUUGUGAAAACGACGUCAAAAAAUUACGGUAAGUAAUAUAAGUCUAAUAUAUUAAGGGCUCGUUUGGAUGAAUUUAUUUUUGAGCUUAUAAAAAAUAGGUUAUGCCAAUAAAUAUGCUUUUAAGUUAAAUUAUAAGUUCUCACUAACAAAAAUUAUAUCUUCAUAAGUUGUUUUUUCGUAAACCACUAUGAUAAGCUUAUGAAUGAUACAUAAAAACUUAUUUAUUUGCAUUAUUAGCUAAAAAAUAAGUCAAUUCAAAUGAGUCAUAAUUAAUGUAAUCUAUUGAUCUCUCGUCUUUAUUAUUAAAACGUUUUUUUUUUUUUGAGAUCUUAUUAUUAAAACGUUAAAUUACUACUAUUCAUUACCUCAAUUGUCUAUGUCAAAUUAUAUUUUUAUAUUCGUGUUAACUCUUCGAUUUCUAGUGGAAGAUGGGUUGAUACUUUGAAGUUCAGGUAUGAAGUACGUGUAGAUUAACUAUCAAAAAAAUUUUAUUUAAAAAUCAAAUUCAGAUUUCCAUGAAGAAGAGUCAUGUUAUACCAACGCUUGCAACACAAUGUCGAUUCAAAUUAACAUGGUAAUGGUGGCUCAAAGGGCCUAAGCACUAGAGAUAGUUGGAGUUAUGGGUGGCAAAAAUGGCCCGACACUUGUGACUAUUUUCGACGGGUUGAGCUGAAGUUUCAAACUCAACCCCUUUUGUCGGAUUGCAUCACUUUGCUCGCUGAGAAAAUGAGGUGGGGCGGCCUAUGAGCUACAUAAUAUAUGUCAAUAUUUUAAAAAAAAAAAAUUAUUCGGUGGGUCUGACAAAAUAUGUCAUCAUUGAGACUUAUUUUGUGUUUUUGGAAUUAUUUUGAGACUUGUUUAAUGUUGUUGGAUUUAUAAUGGUCACAUUAUUGCUAUUAAUUAUGAUGCUACAUUUGUUAAUUAUGUUGUUUGAUUUUUUUAUGAUGUUGGAUUUGUCUCGUAACCUUGUUUUUAUAACAAAUUUAUUUGUUGCCAUUUUUUUUCUUUUGAAUAACAACAAUUUUGUACCAACAAAAUUGUCAAUAAAAUUAUGUUAAGUUAUACCAAAGACCCUUUAAAUUGUUUUAUUGUAAUAAAUUGAUCUUUUGAGUUUUAUUUCGUAUCACUUAGCUCCUUUAAGUUAAUUAAUUAUAAUAAAUUAGUUAUUUAAGUUUAUUUCGUAUUAUUAGGUCCUUUAAAUUAUUUAACCAUAGGGAUUUAAGAUCUUAAUUGCUUGUCACAUUGUUUAAAAAUAUUUAAUUUCUUAAUUGCUUGUUUGUAAAAAAAAUUAUUGCUUGUUACAACACAAUUGUUGGUUGCAAUACGUGUAUAGUUUCUUAAUUGCUUGUCACAAUUAUUGUACAAUUUUCUGUGACUGAAUUUGUUAGGGAAAUUGUCUAAAACCAACCCUUUCACGGUUUAGAGCUCGAGUAGUGUUAGGGAAAUUAGUAGUGGUAUCAUUUGAGACAACUUUGAUGAUAAUUUUUAUUUUCUCUUGAUAAAAAAUAAUAGAGACAAGAAAGAAAGAGAGAAAAUAAGGGUAUAAUGUGAGUAUGAGAAAUAAUGUUGUCAAAAAAUUGUCACAAAAUGAUUGUAUAAAUAUCAUUUCUCUUAGAGCUUCGUUAGAAGACAUCAUUCUCUUUUAAGACUGGCAAACCUUAUGGAAACAAAAGGGAAAGGAUGUUUACCAGUUUGUGGACGAAUACAGUGCUAAUGUCGAUGGAUACAACCCUAUAUCUACGCACCCAAAGAAGUUUUGCUGUCAUGCAAAUUUUACACAAAUUUUAUGGUUUUCGUGAUGUAUUGUUUGUGGUAGCAGUCCACUCUCACAUUCAUGAACGAGUCACCCGCUGAAUAGAACAAAUUUGGUUGAUGAAAUAUCUUUGGUGGAAGAUAGCGCAGAAGAAGGCAACCAUAAAAAUUUUAGUUUUUCUUUUAUUUUUUAACGUCACUUUGUUGUUGUGUACACCAAAGUGAGACGUUAUACUCUUACUUGUACAUAAAAAAAAAGUAAAAAUAUGAAUAAGAGAUUUUUUUUUUUUUUUGAAGAAAAAAUAUGAAUAAGAGAUAAAAAGUAAAAAUGUUGGAAUAUCAUAAUUUGAUGUAAAAAAAAAAAAUUGGAUGUAAAAAUGUAAGAUGAACUAUGAAGAAGUACACUGUACACAGUACACACACCGACACACGAGUUAAGCGAGGGCAAGUUUUUUAUUUUAUUUUCCACGAAAUGUUCAACGUGUAUAAAAUAGGUGGGGUAGAAAAUUGAAAUGGACCCUCUUUUUGUACCAAAAAUAAAUAAAUUGAAAUGGCAGGUUAAUGUACAAUGAAAAUGACGAGAAAUCCAAUAAUUGGUGCACGACGAAAACCAUGUUCCAAAAGACAAAUUAUUCUAAUUUUUUUUUUUUUUUUGUGUGGGGUUCGAACCCCGACCCUUGCAUAUAAUAAUACAUUAUCUUACCAACUGAGCUAUGUUCACGGGACCUAAUUCUUUUUUUUUUUACCAUAUUGAUUUGUAAUUGACUGCGACCCUUUUUGAAGAACAUAAAAUAUAUUAUCCGCAUAUACUAAAAGACCAAUAAUGCUUCAAUUAUUUUCUUUUUCAUUGUAAUUGAUGCUUCAGUUUUGUUUCAAGGCUUAUAUUUACACAAAAAGUCAUGUGAUAGAGUUAACUUUAAUUAUAGUUUAUGUAAAAAAAUCUUUUUCCGAUAUAUAGUAGAAAAGAUGUUAAAAAACAGGCUUAAGGUAAUUUCAACAUGUAGAAAGAACACCGUUAUAUGUAGUAUGAAGAGUAGAUCAGAUGAAGAAGAGUAUAUGCAGGGGAUAAUUUAGAAAAACUAUGAGAGAAACUAUUAAAAAAGAUUUAGAGGUUAAUCAAAAUAUGGUUUAGGAUAGAAUAUUAUGAUGUAAUUUGAUUCAUAUAGCCAACCCUAUUUAGUAGGAUACAACUUGUCUGUUCUUGUAAACAAUUUUAAUUUGGACGUUCAUUUGAUUUUUUUUAUUGAAGUGGACAUAAAAUGAUUGAUUAAUUCGACGAUCAAUUCCACUAUCCACUAGAGGGGACCAAUUGAAACCUAAUUAACUCUGUUAAUGAAGAUUUGUCACCAUAUUAUAUAUUAUUAUUUAUUGGUGGAAGCUUAUGCGGUACAUUCAUAAAUAGAACGCUUUUGCUACAUUAACUUCUUAAAAAGGAUAAAUUUAUGAUCAUUUUUAUGAACCAAAACUAUUUGUCGAUAAUUAUGUAGUUAAUGAGAGGUUAUAAGCAUUAUACUUUUUUUUAUAUAUUUUUUUUUAAUAUACACUUUUAUGAUUAAUAAAAAUUUAUUAUAAGAAUGGUAAUAUAAUCGAGUAACUUCAUUUCAAGAAUGGUAGAAUGUGUCAAGGUUCAAAUUUUGGGUGGUUUCAGAGUAGUUUAAGACAAAGUUCGAAAAUGAAAAAAUGAGAAAGAAUCUAAGGCUGCAUGUAUAUAAGUGUAUUUCAGAUUAUAUAAGUCGAAACUUUUUUUUUGUUUGGAUUAUAUAUUUUUAUAAUCAAACGGAUGUAAAAUUGAAAAAAUGGAGGGUUGAAAAAAGAAAGAAAAAAAAAAACUAUUGCUGCGUAAAAAGUGGGAAAAUAAAUUCUUUAUAAUAAACAUGUACAAUAAUAAAACAUGUACAAAAUAAUCAUUUUGUACUAACUGCUACUUGGAAAAGCUGUGAUAAACAACAAAAAAACUACAAAGUUAUUCCAAUCUUGUUUCUUUUCACUGCUGGCCUUUUAUUUGUUUUGCAAUUGGAUUGGAUUGAACUGGAGAGAAAAUAAAUUCAAACUUUUUUUUAGGAAGAAUAAAUUUAAACUUUUAUUAUUGUUAAAAAAUAAUUUGUUGUGAGUACUACUACAAUAUUAAUAUAUAAAUCUUUUUUUCUUUUAAAUUAAAUGUGUCUAACGAUAAAACUCACACACACAAUAUGUUGAGAAAUGAAGAAUUACUUAUGAGACUAUAAAUAUGCUUUUUAAUUUUAUCAUUUUAGGCAAUUAUCUCACAAUGUCUCAACAAAUUUUAAAUACGUCCUUCGUGAAUAAUCUCUUGAUUUUUUAAAGGGCCUAAAGACAUUGACAGGAGAAAGAAAACUGCUCCACUUUAUCAUACUACAUAGUAUUAUAUAUUAGUGGGAACUAAGAAUGCAAGAGCUACCAACACUAGCUAGUUUCAAAAUGGUUUUGCUUUGGCAAAACACCAAGAAUAUGAUGAACUUUAUGACACUCAUCACAUUUCUUCUCUUCAUUAUGCCUUCAAUUUCUUACUCCCAAUAUCUUGGAAACAACAUAUUACUCACUAACCGUAAGAUUUUCCCAAAACAAGAACCAAUUUCCUCUUAUGCUGUUGUGUUUGAUGCUGGUAGCACUGGAAGCCGUGUCCAUGUUUACCAUUUUGAUCAAAACUUAAAUCUUCUUCAUGUUGGUAAAGAUGUUGAGUUUUAUAAUAAGGUGACAAUAACAUCUUUUUGGCAUCAAAGUUUACUUUGUAGACAUAUAUUUCCUGUUUUUAUUUUUUAAAUCAUGUGUUCAUUUUAAUUUAGUAAUAAGAGAAGAUGAAAUGUUGGUUUGUGAUUAUGCAUUUUAAUUUUGAGAUAAUGAAAACAAUUUUUUUUUUUACAUUUUCAUUGUUAUAAAAAAAUACAAACAAUUUUUCACUUCAAUGGUUUAGUACCUUGUUAUUAUAAACUAAAAUUAAAACAAAUUUUAGAAAAAUGAACAUAACAAACUUUUUUUUUGAGGUAACAUAACAAACAUUUUUAUAAAGUAGUUUUUAUUAGAAUUUAAUUUCUCAACUUCUAACUUUAAAGUAUUCUUUUAUAGACAACGCCCGGUUUGAGUGCAUACGCGGAUAAUCCAGAAGAAGCUGCAAAAUCUUUGAUUCCACUUUUAGAGCAAGCAGAAAGUGUAGUUCCUGAGGAUCAGCGCUCCAAGACACCCAUUAGACUUGGGGUAAAUUUUUUGGUGUAUUUUUUUAUAUUUUUUUAUAUCAUGUUUUAGGUAUUGAGUUUUCACCAUCAUUUAACACGGAUUAAUAUUCGUCAUAAAAUCUGUCAGAACAUAAGGUGGAUUCUUAUCUUCUAACUAAAUUUCCACCAUAUGCAAAAAGAGUUAUGAAUUGAACAUCUUAUCACUUGCUCAAAUGACUCAAAUCCUUUAUCGUUAAUCUUGCAAAAGAUUGAACCGUGGACAAAAAAACUAUAGAUGGAAAAUAUGAAAUUUGCAUGUAUAUAAUUUCAUCAUUAAACUUAGUAACAAUACCGUUUUUCUUUAUAUCCUAACCGUCAUUCCUAACUAAUUUUCGUCUAUAAUUUUGCAAUUACUUUUUUGCAUGAUACAAUUUUUAUUUCGGUAUCUAGAUUUAAGAAUGAUUUGGCAUUAUUGUAUGAAAUUAUGCAUCUAUUAGUCACAGUGUGUUAAACUCAAGUUGUUUGGUGGAUAAACGUAUCACAUAUGUGACAUAAUCUAUUUCCUCAAGUCUCACAUAUAAUUUUUUUUAGAGUGAUUAUUAAUUCAAUAAAAUUAAUAACCACUUGACCAAAAAAAUAAAAAUUAAUAACCACUUACAAUAGAUAGAUCAAAUGAUAAGAGACUUGAAGUAUCUGGUUAAUGGUUUGAUUGGAAAAUCCACGUUGUAUGCUCCACAAAUUUUUGACGGAGAUUAAUUAUGCUAAAUAGCGAGCGGUGAAAACUUUAUACAGAUAACAUGAUAAUAUUUUUUUAAUUGGGUCAAUAUUUAAAAGGAGUUAGUAAACAGGAAUUUGUAAUUAACCAAAUAUUUAUGCAGGCAACAGCAGGUUUAAGGCUUUUGAAUGGGGAUGCUUCUGAAAAAAUACUGCAAUCGGUAACCAUAAGUUUAAUUUUGUUAUUCAAUAGUUCAAUAAUGUUAUAAUUAGCUGUUAGGUGUUAAGCUUAAUUUCGUGCUCCCAUUUAAUUACCUUAGGUAAGGGAUUUGUUCAGCAAUAGAAGUACCUUCAAUGUUCAACCUGAUGCAGUUUCUAUUAUUGAUGGAACCCAAGAAGGUUCUUAUCUCUGGGUAUGACUUAAACUAAAGUUUUUUUUUCUUCUUUCUUUUCUGAAAUUCAUAUAAGAAUAUUAUUUGUGGUAUGUGUUAUGUUUUGAAUAGGCUUCUUUUAAAAAUUACGCUAUUCAAGAUUUGAAUUUCUUGUAUGGUAUACAUCAAAUAUUUUUUAGAAAGGAAAAAUUGUUACUUAGCAUUAUUUUUUGUACAAAAUUAAAAUGUCAAAAUGUUCUUUUUGGUGAAAAAAAAUGAUAAAUUUCAUGUAAUAAACUUGAAAAUUGGAAAAUGAAGAAAUAAGUAGACUAAUUUGUAAACUUGAAACUUGUCAUCUUUAUAGGUGACAGUUAACUAUGCAUUGGGGAAAUUGGGAAAAAAAUUCACAAAAACAGUGGGAGUAAUGGAUCUUGGAGGUGGAUCAGUUCAAAUGGCAUAUGCAGUGUCAAAGUAUACAGCUAAAAAUGCUCCAAAAGUUGCUGAUGGAGAAGAUCCAUACAUUAAGAAGCUUGUACUCAAGGGAAAAAAAUAUGAUCUCUAUGUUCAUAGGUUUAAUUUCCCACUAGUUCUUCAUAUAAUAUAUUGAUUUCUCAUAACAUUUAUACGAUGCAUGCCUAAUAUAUUAAGGGCUUUUAAUUUCUGUCUGCCAGUUACUUACACUUUGGUAGAGAAGCAUCUCGAGCAGAGAUUUUGAAGGUCACACAUAAUUCUCCCAACCCUUGCAUUUUAGCUGGAUUUGAUGGUAAACACAAGUUAUUUUCACAAGUUAUUGAAGUUUUAAGUUGUUUGUUGAAACUUAAUAUAUGCUAAUUAUUUAAGAGAUUAAGUUGGCUGAAACAACUCUCGGUCUAGCCGAUCGUUAGGUCAGGUACCGAGUUUAAAAAAAAAAAAAUACUUGACUUAAACAAAAAAAAAAAACUAAUAUGGUCGAUUUUCGAUUUCACUUUUUUAAUAUUGCAAUUUUUAGAAUUAAUAACAAAUGUUCUGUUUUUCAAAGGGACAUACACAUAUGCUGGAGAAGAAUUUAAGGCCAAUGCCCCUGCUUCUGGAGCCAAUUUUAAAAAAUGCAAAAAGAUAGUUCGUGAGGCUCUUAAAUUGAAUUAUCCAUGUCCCUAUCAGAAUUGCACUUUUGGUGGAAUUUGGAGUGGUGGAGGAGGAAGUGGACAGAGAAUACUUUUUGCUGCUUCAUCUUUCUUUUACCUAGCUGAAGAUGUAUGUAUUAUUAUUGUUAAUUUAUUUCCCAAUUAUUUUGAUAGUGUUCAUUAACAUUAAGCCUUUCUAAUUACAUUGUUUAUUAUUUUAGAUUGGUUUGGUUGACCCAAAUACACCUUAUAGUCUCACACUUCGUCCUGUGGAUCUUGAGACUGAAGCUAAGAAAGCUUGUACAUUAAAUCUUGAGGAGGCCAAAUCAACUUAUCCACUUCUUGUGGAUUUCAAUAUAGUAGAAUAUGUAUGCAUGGAUCUUAUAUAUCAGUACGUGUUGCUCGUUGAUGGAUUUGGUAAGUUUAAAACUUUGAUAUUGUAAUUUGUUGAAAAUUACAAUGAUUAAUGUCUCUAUGCAAUAAUAAUUGAUUUUAUUUGUUGGCAGGCCUAGACCCAUUGCAAGAGAUUACUGCGGGAAAGCAAAUUGAAUAUCAAGAUUCUCUUGUUGAAGCUGCGUGGCCACUAGGCAAUGCUGUAGAAGCCAUAUCAUCGUUACCUAAAUUUGAACGAUUGAUGUAUUUUAUUUAAGCUUCUUGAUAUAUGUUCAAGCACUACAUGCCAGCUUUACCUAAUAUGAAAUAAAACAAGUUUGACAUCUUUUUUCCAUUGAGUUUGUUUAUUUACAUAUUAACUUGUUUUAUUUAUGAGUCUAUGAAGUUUUUCGGUGUAAAAUGAAUAUCCUCCGCGCUCAAGUUUAACGCUGCUGUUAUGAGUAUAUGAAAUUGAGAAUAUUGAUAGCUUGUGGUGGCAAUCAAAUAUUGAAAUUUUUGUAUCCGCAAAAUCUUGGUAACAAUCGAAACAUUAACUUGUUUUUCAAUGUUUUAAGAUAAGGUUUUGAAAAGUUUGUUUGUUUAGUAGCAAAUGCGGAAAAUGGUAAUGAAAAUAUCAAAUUAAAAAGUUGUGGGAUUAGAUUUCAUUAGUUAAUUCUUUGAUGUAUUCUCUUGAUUGAUUAUAUAUUUUUAAUGUUUCAAUUAUAUAUGCAUGCUCAUCAUACAUUUUUAUGUUUGACAAAUGACGAUUGAUCUAUUGUACAUAUUAACUUUCAAUAUCUCACUUAAUUAAUCGAUAUACAAUGGUGGUUCGUGAUUAUAAAUCUACUCUUAUAUCUUGCAACUAACAUCUCCAAAUGAACUUAAUUUCACUUCUUUUCAAUAAAAAGUCUAUGUCUAUCACUUUCUAAAUCAAAUAACCAGUUUUAAAGUUUCACAUCAUAAAAGCUUUAAGUACAUGAAUCAAGUCCUGGAUAUAAUGAAAUAAAUAUUAUAUAUAACUAGUAAAAUCAAGUAUUUGCAUCAACAUCAUAACUAACUACACCUAAUAUCAAGACAAAAAGGAAAUUGGUUGCACAUACUCAUGGUAGCUAGUACAAAGAAAUGAAGAGAAGAUGAAUUUGCAUCAAAGAUUUGAAGAUUCAAGUUUCAAUGCCUCGACACUAAACCGCCAUAAAGUCGUUAAGCGAAAUGUUGUUCUCGUAGCAAAUUACUCUUUGCAGAAUACCUCAAAUGUUUUACUUAAUUGCUUUCGGUUCGCGAUGGCUUGCUCAACGAAUCUCAAAGAUCAGUGUUUCAUUUAACUCUAUGUGAUAUAUGUUGUAUACAUGCGGCCCUUUGUGAUUUUGAUUUGGUCAAAGCUGAUGUUGAUAUAUUUUUUUAUUAAAAAUAUUGUCGAAUGUGCUCACACAUGGAAAUCAAUACAAAUUAAAAAUUAAAGAAAUUACAUAACUGAAAUUAAAACUUAAAAAUAAAUACUAAACAUUAAAAAAAUCUUCUCCUUCAUCUUCAACCCUAAUCUUCAUUCUCAAGAAUCAAAAUCAAUCUAACAAACCAAACCAAACCCAAUCUUCAUAACCGCAUAUCCAAAAUCAUUGGUUUUAAAAACUUGAGGAUAAAAAUACAUUUUACAUAUAUAUAAAAAAUACACACACGAGAUUAACGUGGGUUUUAGCCUUUCGGUGAUGAACUUAACUGAUUAGUGAUGAAGAUGGGUGGGGUCGGAAAAUGAAGGGAAAUCCAAUAAGUUUUGCCCAAGUAGUAAUUGAAUUAAUUACCUUAUAUAUCAAAACAAACAAAAAAGUGAAAUUGAAUUGCCUUGUCUUUAUGAAAGGGAUUUUACCCUUUAUGAAGAACAUAGUACAUAUUAUCGGCAUAUAAAAAAGUAAUAAUGCACCAAAAAGAAAAAAAAAGAAGAAUGCACCAACGGAUUGUGUCUUGUAGAUAAGUAUAGUGAAUGGAUUAUUCUUUUAUGGUCAAGAGGCUUUCGUGUUUUGGUUAUGCAAUGAUAAAAUUAAUUUUAAAAGAAUUACCUAUGUAAAAUUGAUUUUGUUUAAAAAUGACUUGACAAUAAAAUUAUACACUUCUAAAAUGAGUUGACAAAAAUUGUUUCUUUUAAGAAAAAUCAAACAUAUCAAAAUCAAUUAUAUGAUUUUAGAAUCAAGUUUGUCUCAUCCAAAACUAGAAUCUUGUCUAGGUACUUAUAUUAUAUAUUUUAAUUAGAGUGAUGUCUCUUUACUAGUUUUCUUCCUCUUCCUCUUCAAAGCGACCUUUACAUUAUUCGGGAGUGGAAUAUAAGGUGUUUCCCCCUUCUUCUGGCUCAAACUUUGAUGAAUGCAAAGAGAUAACUCUUAAGGUUCUUAAAGUGAAUGAUCCAUGUCCCUAUUCGAAUUGCACUUUUGGUGGGAUAUGGAAUGGUGGAGGAGGAAGCGGAAAAAAAAAAUCUUUUUGUUUCUUCGGCUUUUGCUUACUUAACCGAAGAUGUAAAACAUUAUUGCUCUACCCGAUUUAUCUUGUUAUUUUAAUGGUAUUUUCUAUUAAGCAUAUACACUCGUCGGAUUAGACGUGUCCCAACAUCGGACACGUGUAAGUGUGUAAGUAUUAGUUCUUCAUAGGUUUUUCUUCAAGCAUUUCUAAUGACAUUGUUUACUUUUGUUAGGUUGGUAUGGAUGAGCCAAAUAAACCUAAUUCCAUACAUCAUCCGGUAGAUUUCGAAGUUGAAGCUAAGCGAGCUUGUACAUUAAACUUUGAGGAUGUCAAAUACACUUACCCACGUCUUACGGAGGAAAAGCGUCCAUAUGUAUGCAUGGAUCUCUUAUACCAGCAUGUGUUGCUCGUUUGUGGAUUUGGUAGGUUUUUUGUCUUGCAUAUCUUUUCUCUCUGUUAUUAAAUAAAACUAGCACAAUUUUAUAAAAAAAUUUAACAAGUAAAUGGAACCUAAAGUUUCUCUAAGAAAUUGUUGCAAGUGUCAAUUGUAAUGUUGUCUUGUAUUUGUUGCCAGGUUUAGAUCCUCAACUAGAGAUUACAGUGGGGCGGGGAAUUCAAUAUCAGAAUUCUGUUGUGGAAGCUGCAUGGCCUCUAGCAUUACCUAAAUUUGAGAGAUUAAUGUAUUUUAUUUAGGCUUCUAGGCGAGCUGAAAUAUUUCAAUUCAAGUAUUUCAACCGUAAAAGCCAGCUUUAUCAAAAAUUAAAUUAAAUAAAAGUGGCUUGUUUUGUCUUUCCUUUCUUCCAUACUUACACUGAUCUUGUGGAUAUGGAUCUCCAGCCAUGUUCUUAUGAUGAGUUCGUUUAUUUAAAAAAAUGUUAAUUAUGAGAAAAAGAAACUAAAUGUGUGCUUAUUGUUCCGUACAAAAACUUAUAUAACCUACCGUGAUACAUUUAGUUGAUAUCGCAAAGAGCUGUGCUAUUCGCAGCGAAAGAAAAUGUCCCGAAAAUAUCACAAAUAAUUAAAAUCGGUAGAUCUUGGCUUAAUUGGAAAACAUGGAUGGCCAAAGAUCGAAGAGGUGGAGGAAGGGUAUUAAUGAACUAAAUCGUGAUCUUCUCGUGGUAUAGUUUUUCUGGAAAACACGCGUUUCCCUAUCGCAAAUGUUAGUUUACAUGAAAAAGUCUUAUCAAUUGAGCAAAUGACAUAUCAACUUAUCAAACGACUUGUCUUUAAACACCAAAUUUUACUGUUGAUUAUAAAAUUAUAAGCUCAAACGAUAUUGCAAAAAUAACAUCUCAAGAAAACUAUAAUUUGUUGAGAGAAACUUGUUUACCAAACACAUCUCAUGUGAUCAAACAUGUUUGUAAGUUUUUUUUUUUUUUUUUUUGAUAUAGCUAAAAAUUCAAUAAAUGUUGUUAGGUGCAGCCUGAACCGCAUACAAAAAUUCUCAGAAACAAAUCCAACAGAAAGAAACAAUCCCUCCUAAAACAGAAAGGAGGGAAGAAAAACAGCUAAAGCAUAGAAAAUCUAGUAAAGACAAUUCCCCUAAAAUUCCAAAGGAUGCAUUUCAUGCUUGGUCCUUGAGGUGAACACUAGUCUUCUUAUGUCUAGUUGAAACUCUGACAGAACUGUUAUCAUCUAAGGUUUUAGCAGCUUUCUUCCAGCCUUUCCUGCCUGGUUUAAUAAAACCAUCUUCAUGAGAAUGUUGCAGAAGCUACUGGUCAGCUUCCUUCAAAUUGGCUAGGGUACCAGCUGUGUCUAUAUCAUGCUCCAAUGAGCUUUGACAGUUGCUCUUGUGAGCCUCAUGGUCAUUAUCAUGAUCCAAUGUGUCAUCAGUAGUAUCAGUGUCCUCAUCCCCCCAAUACUUACUCAAGAUUUUACCAUCUUUCAAACAGGCAGCAGACAAAUUCUUAGGGCCAGCAGUGAAGUGAAACUUUCUCCUGUCUUUCCCUAACAUCUCAUCAUUAGUAGUUAUGGGAGAAAUGAUAGGCUGCAGUGUUAAAUUAUCAUGAAAAAAGGAUUCCUAGCAUCACCAAGUGACACAACAGUAGCAUUGGGGGGAUGACAGCCUCCCAAUUUUGCUACUCUGUUCCAGAGAGGAAGGACCUGUAAUGGGGUAUGACAGCCUCCCAUUAUCAGUGUCCUUACUUGAGUUCAAAGCAACAGGUUGAGAGUUCUUUUUGACCAAGUUACCAAGAUCCUCUAUGUUUGUGCUUUGAGCCAAGAUCACCAUCUCUAGGGAAUUUUCUGCCACAUUUGGAUUUUUAUCCAUUUGCAAAUCCAGUAUAGUGUAGUAGAUUCCAAGUCAUUUGGUAUAGCCUCCCCUGUUACCUGCUUAGUAUCUGUCUUACGUAACUCAAAAGAGUUGUGAAGUGUGAGAUUGUCGUCAUUGUGCUGAGCACUAGCAGUUACAUUAUUGUCAUCAAGAAUGAGUUCAACUUCAGUGGUACUAUCUUGUGGUAUUUCUCCUUCCUCACAACCGUGCACUGGGACCUUAUGAGUAAUAUUGUUGUCAUAGGUAGCAGCAGACUUUUUACCAACUGCUGUAACUUUAGGUGGUGGAACUGUGUUAGCAGAAACAACAACAUCAUGCUUAGUGGCCAUAUCAGAGUUUUGUGUUGCAUAGUAGCAAGUUUCUGAGGGACCUUCCCAUUGGCAGCAUUAAGUUUAGAGAAAUUUUGGAUGUCAUGCCCUAAGGCCUUGCAGUGAGAACAAAACAGAGGGUAUUUCUCAUAUUGCACCCCUAUAGUCAAGGCAUGACCAUCCCUUUCCACAAUUAUGGAUUCAAACAGCUUCUCAGACAUGUUGACAUCCACUAAGAUUCUAGCAAAGAGGCCAAAACGCCUGGUUUGGGUUGCCUCAUCAAUGAUGAGAGGAGUUCCCAAACUAGAAGCAAUUUCAAACAAAGUUUGCUUUCCCCAAUACUCUUGUGGGAGUUGCAUUAAUCUGACCCAAACUUGUGCAUGUGUUUGUGCCUAUGCCCUAGGUGCGAAAUCCUUUGUCCAACAAAAGAAUCUUAGAAACCCAGGUUUCAAAUUCAGAGCACCAAUUGCCCAAACCUGUUUCAUAUCUUCAAUUGAACUAAAAUGGAAUUCGAAAAAACCCUUACCAAGAGAAAUCAAGCUCCAAUUCUACAGAUUAGGCCAGAGAUUGUGGAGUUUGGCCUUUAGAGCUUGUGUAGUUAUCGGUGAAUCUCCUUUGUGGAGAGUCAAACGGCCAUGGAGGUUGCAUUGGCACGAAACUAAUCCUGCUUCAUACGCGGCCUGUGAGAUCUUAACACGCGCUGAAUCGCCCAUAAUCACCUUCGGAGGAAGAUUUGCCAUAAAAUUGUUAUCGGACGAAGCACCAGAGGAAGAGUUGGAGAGUGCCUGAGCAAAGGACUUCCCAGAUUCCGGCGAUUGUUGUUUCUUUGUCAGAGGAGCAUCCAAAGAAGCCAUGGGCACACCAUGAUUCAAGGAGAACAGAGAAAUAGGAGGUUCACCGUAGAGGAACCAACGAAGGUGAGAACAGUCCAAAGAGGUGGAGAAGAGGAGAAUCUGUGUAGAUCUGAGAAAUCACCGUGAAGGUGAAGAAAACGCCGUGAAAUAGACGUAGAAAGGUGGGAGAAACAGCGUCGGAGCUACGCUGGUGGUGGUUUAGGUCGCCGGAAAAAAAAAACGGUUACGGUGCACUCUCUCAGCGAGAGAGAAAAUUAGAAAAAUCAUUUUCGUUUAUCAAAGGUGCUUGAGUUAGAGAAUAAUUCUUAAUUGAACAUGUUUGUAAGUUAUUUCUAUAAACUAUAACUUAACUUAUUAAUUAGCAUUACAACAUAGAGUUUCUACGCGAGUUUUUUUUUCUUUCUUUUCUGCCCCUAUCACCAAAAAAUUGAUAUGUUUGCUCCUAGUUCAAUGCCUUUGUUCUUCAUUUAACUUGGCAAACAUAACCAUUUUUUUUCAACUUCAAGCUUUUUCUGCAUCUCCUGUGUGUUUUACGAAUGAAAUGGAGAACAUACCUUUUUUUAAUAUCUUCUUUUGUGUUCUAUAUUUCAAAUGGUGAACAGUCUUUUUUUUAUUUUUUUUUAUUUAUAUUUCAAAUGACAACAUGCCUUAAGUUUGUAUUUUUCGUCUUUUUUGUUUUAAUGAAAGAAAAAGGUUGUUUUUUAAUUAAAAAAUUCUAACUAAAAAAAGAAAAAAGCCAAGUAAAAAAAUUAAUAAGAAUUAAUGUUCGCCAUUUUGAGUGGCAAACAGCUAAUAAAUUUGAAAAAAAAAAUGUGUUCACCAUUAUGAAUAGCAAACAUCAAAAUAGAAAUAAAAAAAAAAGAAAUAAGCAUGUUGGUUAAUUCACAACAAGAACAUGCAGUUGAAAAAUUGUGUAUGUUCGCCAAAUGAAAUGGAGAACAAGGGCAAUUGCAUCAAUACUUUUGAAUAGAGGACAGACAUAUCAUUUUUUUGUGAGAGGACAAGGAAAUAAAAAAUUUCUUUUAACGCAUCCCUCAAUGAUUUUACUUGUUUAACUAAUAUCUUAAUUCCUUGUCAGAAUUAUAUCGUGUUCUGAUUCGAUCAAGAAUAGAUAAUAGUAAUAUAAUAGAGCACCCAUACCCAUAUCUCUAAUGAGUCUAUCUUAGCCAACGAAUUAAGACAUAAUUUAAGAGAAAGAAAACACGAGAUAAUCACGUUUCUUAAAUUAUUAUUUCAUCUUCACUUUUUCCAUUUAUACAUAGUGGAUUGUGAAUCAUAACCAACACAUUCUGGAGCUAGCUAGCUAGUUUCAAAAUUGUUAACAUGGAGUUCCUAAUUACACUCAUUACCACUUUUUUACUCUUGUUAAUGCCUGCAAUCACUUCCUCCCAAUAUUUAGGAAACAACCUACUCACUAAUCGAAAGAUUUUCCAAAAACAAGAAACCUUAACAUCUUACGCUGUCAUAUUUGAUGCUGGUAGCACUGGUACUCGUGUCCAUGUUUACCAUUUUGACCAGAACUUAGAUCUUCUUCACAUUGGCAAUGAUAUUGAGUUUGUUGACAAGGUGAGAUUUUAAAAAAUUACAUUAAUUAAUUAAUAUCUCUUAGUAGUACAUUUUUUGACAAGUCUUCAUUAAUUAAUUGUUGUGAUGUAGAUCAAACCAGGUUUGAGUGCAUAUGCGGAUAAUCCUGAACAAGCAGCAAAAUCUCUCCUUCCACUUUUGGAGGAAGCAGAAGAUGUGAUUCCUGAGGAUAUGCACCCCAAAACACCCCUUAGGCUUGGGGUGAGUUUUCUAGUCUCUCAUCCAUUUUACUAUUUCUCACCUGUUAUGUUUUUUUGAGUGAAUAUCAAAAAUGAAUUUUCGACAUCGGAAUCCUCUUUAUUUAUCUCAAUUACAAUAUCUCAACCAUCAAAAUAAAUCUUCUUAUUUAUUUGUAAGUGAAUCUAGUUUUCUCUCAUGUUUGAUGAUUGAGACGUUGCAGUAUAAAAAAAACAUGGACUUUCCUUUGGUUGUUCCUCAUCUUCAUAAAAUCUUUGUGCGUAUAAAAUAUUCUUAAUUACGGUAUAGUGUAAGAUCUUUCUUCUCAAUGACACCUCAUGGAUAUGGGUUGUGGUAACUCAACCCUAUGUGGCGGCUAGUGAGUCUCAUCUAGACUAUCCAAUUAAGACCAAACUUUGAGUUUGAUAUUAUAAAUAAAAUAAAAAGUCAAAAUCGAUAUUAAAAUCUAAAUUGUCUGAUCUUCAUCCAAAGGUUUAUAUAUGUUUACAAUCACAAUGUAGACAAUCCAAAUCUAUCAAUUAUAUUUUGAUUUUCAUCGUUGUAUAGGUUGCGAGAUAUGACUUCUUUUAAAUAGGGAUUAGAACAUUUAAGAAUUUUUAAGACUUUGAAAAUAUAAAUUUUAUGUUUCAAAAUUUACAAUGAGAACAAUUGAAUAAUAUUGUUAUAAUUUAUCUUUUAAAAUUUAAAAUUGAAAAAAUAUAAUAAAGAAAGUUAAAAUAAUUGUUGAGUUAAAGUGUCAGUAGUUAAGUUCUAAAUUAACUAUGAACGAAUAUAUUAUUAGAGAUAUAAAAGAUGUGACAUAUUCUUAAUUUUUUAAAGUUUUCGUAGACCAGAGAUGAAAGGUUUCUCCCUUUUGUAAAGAUUAAUAUUAUAAACAAUGAAUGAAAAGAGUUAGUUUGAAAAUAUAAGAUCGAUAGGUGGAUCUUGUAAAAAGAGAAAAUCAAAUAGUGAAAAUAGAAAGUUAGAAGAGAAAUGAUAUUUGUACAAUUAUUUGUGACAAAUUUUUGACAAUUUUCUCUCUCAUACUCACGUUAUUCUCUUAUUCUCUUUCUUCCUUUUUCUCUCUCCGUUAUUUUUGACCAAUAAAAAUAGAAAAAAAAGAAAUUGUCACAAAAGUUGUAUCAAAUAAUUGUUCAAAUAUCACAAGUUAAAAACACACACUUUAACAAAUAAUAUGAGGAAAAUUCCACCUGACUACUUUUUUUAGUAUUUCCUUUCCCGCAUUAAUUUGCAUUCAAGGCUGAUAUUUGUACGGUGUCUGUCUAUACCGGUGGUUACCUUUUGGAAUUCAAACUCUAGUUAUUAACAUACUAACACACUAACAAACUAACAUUUCACUAUAAAAAAUGUAGAGACCCUAGCUAUACUAAUAACAUAUUUAAGUCCCUUUAGAAAAAAACAUAUUUAAGCCCAACGCACAUAAAUGUUCAAUUGGUUAAACAUGUAAACGACAGCUUUAGUACAUUAACAUCUUUUCCAAAUGUAUAUGAUAAUAAUGCAGGCAACCGCAGGUUUGAGGCUUUUGAAUGGGGAUGCUGCCGAAAAGAUAUUGCAAGCGGUAACCAUAAUUAAGCAUUAUUUGCUAUCUAAUUGUUCAAGAUUUUAGCAACUAUACCUUAAUUGGGUUUCAAAUGCCUAAAGCUUUUGUUUUCUAGACAAGGAAUAUGUUCAGUAACAGAAGUACCCUCAACGUUCAAAGUGAUGCAGUUUCUAUUAUAGAUGGAACCCAAGAAGGUUCUUAUAUGUGGGUACGUAUGAUUUAUAAAAGGUUUAAUGAUGUGUUUCAUCCUUGCAAUUAGGUGUCAUUUAAAAAUUAGUCGCUGUAAUCGCUAAUCCUGACAAUUUACCCUUGCAUUGUUUAAUCAUUUAAAAUUUCGUCCUUUGACCAACUUAAUCACUACCAAGUCAUCAAAUUAGCAAAAUGGCAUAGGAAUGGACAAAAAUACCCUCGACUUUAUUAUGAGAAGAAGAUGAAGAUAGGGGUAAAAAUGUCAUUUCACGAAUGGAUGACGAGGGUAUUUUUGUCCAUUCCCAUGUCAUUUUGCUAAUUUGAUGUCGUGACAGUGAUUAAGUUGGUCAAAUGACGAAAUUUUAAAUGAUUAAACAAUGUAAGAGUAAAUUGUCAGGAUUAGCGAUUACAGGGACUAAUUUUUAAAUGACGCCUAAUUGCAAGGACGAAACACAUCAUUAAGCCUUUAUAAAAUUACAUUUUCUUUAUGGAUUUUGUUUUUUGGCAGAAUAUAUUGUUAAUAAGUGUUUGUACUAUAUAUUUUCAUUAUAAUUGUGUGGUAUUUUGUGCCCUGGAUUUAAAUUGGCAACCUUGUCAUCUUUAUAGGUGACAGUUAACUACAUAUUGGGGAAUUUGGGAAAAAGCUUCACAAAAACAGUGGGAGUAAUUGACCUUGGAGGUGGUUCAGUUCAAAUGACAUAUGCUGUGUCAAAGAAAACAGCUAAAAAUGCUCCAAAAGUUGCAGAUGGAGAGGAUCCAUAUAUAAAGAAGCUUGUACUCAAGGGAAAGCAAUAUGACCUCUAUGUUCAUAGGUUUUCUUCUAAUUCUUUUUUCUUUUUUAUUGAAGAGUUUUUUUUUUUUUUUUUUUUGUAAUUCUUGAUGUAUAUAUGAAUGUACAAUGAGUAAUUAAUUUAUUAUAUUAAGGUCUUAAUUUCUUUCUUGUAGUUACUUGCGCUUUGGCAAAGAAGCAACUCGAGCACAGGUUUUGAAUGCAACUAAUGGAUCUGCUAACCCUUGCAUUUUACCUGGAUUUAAUGGUAAUUAAGCGUGUGAAAAGCUUCAAAUUUCAAGUACAUUUUUAUAUAUACUGCUAUUUUAUUUUGAUGACCAUAAAGAAUACAAAUAACAAAGGAAUUACUUUUUUUUUCUCUUCAAAGGGACCUUUACAUAUUCAGGAGUGGAGUACAAGGCUUUUUCCCCUUCUUCUGGCUCAAACUUUAAUGAAUGCAAAGAGAUAAUUCUUAAGGUUCUUAAAGUGAAUGAUCCAUGUCCCUAUUCGAGUUGCACUUUCAGUGGAAUAUGGAAUGGUGGAGGAGGGAGUGGACAAAAGAAACUUUUUGUUACUUCAGCUUUCGCUUACCUAACUGAAGAUGUAAAAUACUAUUGCUUUACAUGAUAGUGCGGUGAUUAUGUUGUUUUAAUGUUAUUCUUCAUGCAUUUCUAAUGGAAUUUUUUUAUUUUUUUAGGUUGGUAUGGUUGAGCCAAAUAAACCUAAUUCCAUACUUCAUCCAAUAGAUUUCGAAAUUGAAGCUAAACGAGCUUGUGCAUUAAACUUUGAGGAUGUCAAAUCCACUUAUCCACGACUUACAGAAGCAAAACGUCCAUAUGUAUGUAUGGAUCUCUUAUACCAGCAUGUGUUGCUCGUUCAUGGAUUUGGUAGGUUUCUUGCACUAUGAAAUAAAUACUAUUUAAAAAAAAAAAAUUCUAUCAUAAGUACAACUCAAAUGGUAAAAAAUACAAAACUUUUGAUAUAUUAAGGCGCGAGUUCAAACCCGCACUAGUACUAUAUCUACACUUAGUAUGUCUCGGUGUUGCUGUCAGGCUAUUUGAAACCAAAAAAGCAAUUUUACAUGGAUCAUACCUUUAUCUAAGAAAUUGUUGGUCAAAUGUUUCGAUUAUAAUGAUUGUCUUGUAUUUGUUUGCAGGCUUAAGUCCACGAAAAGAGAUUACAGUAGGUGAAGGAAUUCAAUAUCAGAAUUCUGUUGUGGAAGCUGCAUGGCCUCUAGGUACUGCUGUGGAAGCUAUAUCAACGUUACCUAAGUUUAAGCGAUUAAUGUAUUUUAUUUAAGCUUUUAGAGAUGACAAGAUAUUUCAGUAACAGCUAACUUUAUCAAAAAUUAAAUAAAACUGGCGCAUUUUGUCUUUCAUUUCUUACAUCACAUACUUAUAUUGAUCUUGUGCAUUUGGAUCUCCAUGUUCUUAUGUUGAGUUCGUUUAUUCUUAAAAACGGUUAAUUAUGAGAAAAUGAAAAUGAAAGUAUGUUUGUUUUUGUCACUGAAAAAAUCUAUUAGCUAAUGUGAUAAAUUCAGUAGAUAAUUUUUAACUGAUUUUUGGCAAAAAGCUGAGCUAGAAAUUAAAAAAAAGAUGUCUUUUAAAGUUUGAUUUCCCAUUUACGUAUAUAACCUUAGCCCAAACAGUUAGAUGCUUUGGAUAGUUCCAUUAGUAAUGAGAGUGAAUUGAAUUAUUAUUGGUAAAGCAUGUUGACGCAUAACGGAUGCAAGAAUUAGCAAGAGUUAAACCUAAGAGCUAAACAAACAAGUUGCAAGCAACAAAUAUGUCAAAUAAGGGUUUUCGGAAUCCACCAUAAUUGAGAAAAUUCUCGAUAAUUUUAUUGAAUAUGAAAAAUUGUCUCCCAAGCCACGAAAGUUUAGUUUAAAUACUAGAGAAAUAACAAAACAUAAUGGGCCGAAAAUAACAAACUAAAAUAAAACCGAAAAAUAAUAAAUUUGCUGAAAUAAUACAAAUGUGGUUUUGGGCCUUCGGAUGAUUUUGAACGCCUAAAUUCACCCAUACGUGAACUCCGGGGCUUUCCAAAAAGGUAUAAUCAUCAAUCCGACAUCGGAUGCUAAAUCUACACUAUUCUCAUUGAACCUUUUUUGCACGUCACUUCAUCUUCGAUACGUGCAGCCAAUUUGCUUACAUCACAUAUAAGAGUUCCAAUUGCAAAAGUUCAAACUAAUUUGAUUUUACCCUCACCUUGUGUUAGGAAGCUAAAUCCUAUCACUAACAAAACUAUAGAAAACUAGGAUUCUAAGCUAAAAGAACAAGAGAAUAGAAAUCAGAAAGAAAGUUCCAUGGUUCAGCUGUUAGAAAGUUCCAUGGUUCAGCUGUUAGACAAAGUAAAAGAUUAUUCAUUGUGGUGGCCUAAGGCUCAUAAGGCUGUUUUUGUUUUUGGUGACCAAUUGUGGUGGUCGAGUCCUUUGUCUUGUUUAGGCAUUGGCUGAUCUCUUGGUGUAACUUUGACUGAACUGCUUGUUCUUUUUUAGUGGUCUUUUUGGUAAACCUUAUGCUGAGAGGACUGCUAUAGCACUCUUAAUAUAAUCCAAAUUUGUCUGUUAAAAAAAAAAAAAAAAAAAACUAUCUAAGAGAAAAUAAAAUAAUUUUUCAUUCAUUUUACUCCAUUUCCCUAAUGAGACAAUACACUCAAUAUAUAUAAUAAAUAGAUCAUAAGUUAUUGUGGCCCUACGUCUCCCCAAAUUUAAUGUGAAUUUUUUCUGCCUUAGCAUGCUCCUUGCCAUGUCUAGUACACUUAUAUUUCUUCUUUUUGUAAGUCGAUUAUGUUAAGACCUGUUGGGUGUUUUUACUUCAUGUAUGAUUCCUUGACUUGAACAAUAAGCCUCAACUCUCUUGAGGUGUACUCCAGACCUCCAUCAAAUCUGAGAAUCUUCAGCAUCUUCCCACUUUGCUUCAAAUUUCAAGAGAAAGAAACGUAUGAACAAGAAACUAAUUGCUAAAAUACGUCAAAAAAACAAUAAACAACAAAAUGUGUAAAUGGUAGUAUUCCAACCAAACAACAAAAUGUAUGAACAUUACAUAUAUCAUUUGAAUGACUAGUAAGAUUGAAAUCAUGUGAAGAAAUGAGUGAACUCCUUAAUUUGAAGAUGAAACACAAGAACUAAUGCAUGCAUGGCACAUGUCUUAUCAAACUUAUAAACUAUCUUAACCAACUUCAAUCUUUCCUUGCACGUUGUUUCUUAAGUAGUUAGUUGAAUGCAACAUUGCCAAUUCUUGAAAUUCCAACCCAUGGUGACCUUUUCAAACGUGACAUGUCUGACCUUCGAAGAUUUACUCUUUGAAUGUAGCUUUUACUCGAAUAAAUCAUCUCAAGAAUAUUUAAAACUGUUUGUUUAUGCACAUGAAAAAAAUCUCAUUCAACUUACACCAUCGGUUUCAAAACUAAAUUUUGAACUUUUCAUCAUAUAACAAAGUGUUGUUCUGUGGUAAAAACUUUUAACUAAAGAAAAUUAUGUGGUGAAAACAUAGUGUAUGUUUAGUUCUACGAUGAUAAAAAUUGAUUUCGAGUGAAUUAAUUUUAGAAAAUUAUUUGUUUAAAAGUAAGCUGAAUGUAAAUGAUUUAUGUUUAGAUAUGUUUAUGUAGUAAAACUGAGUUGAACAAUAAAUUUAAGUCUAAAAGUAAAUUAUAAAAUUAAAAACUACAAAUUCUAACUUUAAAUAAAAUCAAUUAAAAAUACAAAAUUAAUUCCACUCAAUUUUUUAAAAAAAACUACAAAUUCUCAAUUUAAAUAAAAUCAAUUAAAAAGACAAAAUUAAUUCUACUCAAUUUUUUUUGUACAAAUUCUACUCAAAAUUAAAUAUUAAAUAUACAUGUCAAAAUCAAUUUUAAAUUUCUACGAUCAAAAAAUGGAACCAAAUAUGCAUCCGGUGUUUAACCUUAAGUUUAAAAUCUCAAUGCAACUACAAAAAGAGAAUUUAAUUUUUUUUUUUGAUGUGACGGUUUAUACGAGCAACUCUUCCACAGGCACAAACCUAAAUGAAAAUCAUUUGGACACACACAUUUAAAAAGUAUAAAUAAAUAAAUAAAUUAGUUACAUUAUUUUUUACUUUUAUCUCUUAAUUUUGUUUAUCUAUGAAUGUGUAUCUAAGAUCACACCCAAUGGUGAGGUCGUAACCAUUUAAUAUACACCCCCAUUACGAAAGGGAAAAAAAUUUGGGGUCUUAUAGGACCUAGGGUCUCACAUUAGCAUCUUAUUCUUAACUUUUCAUUAAAUUAAUUAGUUUGCAAUGUUUGUUUGGUAUGCUAUGUUGACUCAUUUAAAACGUUUGUUAGAGGUGUUGCAUUUGAGUGAUUGAAUGCGUAUUAGGUACUAUUAUUUAAAAAUUUACAAAUAAAUGAUAUGUACACGUGAGACUUGUUUAAGUAUUCAAAAUUGAAUAUCUACAUUGCGGAUGCUUUAGCUGUUUUUUAUUUGUGUUUCUGACGGACCAAACUUUCUCCAUAUAUACCAUGUGCACCAAUUAACAAAGGACAAAAUACAUCUUUUUCUACCGGGAAAGACAAAAUACUCCUUAUCAACUUAAGCUGGAAGUAGAAACCUAUGGUCAAUAUGCAACUUUGAUAAAAUACCACAAAUAUAUAAAUAUCCAAAGAUAGGUGCAUUUCCUCGUGAAUCACGCCUAUGAAAACAAUUGUUUUUCAAACAUAGGUGCAUUACCUCGUGUAUUUUUUGUAUGAUUAUUUAAUUCUUUUUUUAUAAAGGUGUAUGAUUAUUAACUUAAAUAAUUGUAAUUUCUUAAAAUUUAUAUUUUUUAAAAACUCUUUAUAACCAUUAAAAUUAGAUUUUAAAUUAAGAAUUAUAUGAAUAUGUGCAUAAAUUUUGUCCUUCUUUUUGUACAAACAAGACAAUAGCUAAUAUCAUUGACAUAUUAGUUUUGUGUUUAUUUAAAAAUAAUAUGUUAGAUCACUUUUUUUCUAAAGUUAAUAUCAAUCAAAUAUAUAUAUAGAUUUUUAAAUGGACUAAUUAAUAAAUAGGGGUACAAUACUUCCCCUCUCCUCUCCUCCUUAAACAAAAAAAAUAAAUAAAUACCUCCCCUCCCCAAAUAAACUAAAGAUACAUUACUUUCAAAAAUGUCAAUCUCUUACCUAAAAAUAAACAUAUGAUUAGUAAGGUCAGAUUUGCAGCAUAAUAUUUUAAUCAAAUUGGAAAUACUCCUUCAACUCCUCAAACUAAUUAUAUAUAUGCUAGUUGUUUUAUAACCGGUUUCAAAAUAGUUUCCCUUCCCACUAUCUCUUCCUACAACAAGCAUGGAGUUUCUAAUUAAACUCAUCACAUUUCUACUCUUCUUGAUGCCUACAAUCUCUUCCUCCCAAUAUCUUGGAAACAAUAUACUCACCAAUCGUAAAAUAUUUCCAAAACAAGAAACUCUAACCUCGUACGCUGUCGUCUUUGAUGCUGGUAGCACCGGUAGCCGUGUUCAUGUCUACCAUUUUGAUCAGAACUUAGAUCUUCUUCACAUUGGCAACGAUGUUGAGUUUUAUAAUAAGGUUAUUAAUUAAAUAUUACAUCUUGGCUUUACAAGUUUCGUAAGAAAUAAAUAAUAUAUGUUCUUGAAUUAUGGACAGAUUUAUUUAUUUUUUCUUCUUAAAUUACUAUCGUUACUUAAACUUUUGUUAAUGCAUGUAUGAGUUAUAAUAUCUUCAUUGUGUUCAUGUUGUAGACAACACCCGGUUUGAGUGCAUACGCAGAUAAUCCAAAGGAAGCAGCAGAGUCUCUGAUUCCACUUUUAGAGCAAGCAGAAAGAGUGGUUCCUGUUAAUCUGCAACCCAAAACACCCGUUAAGCUUGGGGUGGGUUUUCUAACAAUGUCUUAAUUUUGAUGGUUGACUAUCACUUUUUUAUUUAGAUUAUAACUUUUUUUAGAGGAGAUUACAACUUAAAAUUUAGUAACUUUUUUUGUAAAUUAAUACUAAAAAACCAAAAUUAUUUGUCAUGUUUGUUGUAGAAAACAAUAUUUGUUAAUGUUGAAUCAUUACAGAAAUUUAUUAAGAGAAAAAUAUGAAACUUAUCUUUAUUUCUUUUUUUUUUUUUUUUUAGUACAAAUCUUAUCUUAGGUGUCAAUUAGCUACAGAAAUUUACUUUUUCUAUUAUUAUUUUUUUUGUGUCAAUUAGUCUUGUGAUUAGAAAUUAACCUUUUUAAGAUAAAUAAGUAGAGAAUCAGGAUUUCAAAAUUAGCCUCUGGAUAUAUUAUACGAUAUCUCUAUCAAUUGAGCAAUACUCACCACGACUUUUUACUUCUUAUUUUGGUCAUUAAUUCUCUAGUGUUUUCUUCUAAUAAUAAAACUUUUUUUUAAAAAUUUAUAUGAUAAUGCAGGCAACAGCCGGUUUAAGGCUUUUGGAUGGAAAUUCUUCCGAAUUGAUAUUGGAAGCGGUAAUUGUAUAUAUGAACUUCAUUUCUUAUGUUGUUUAAUGUUUUUAACACUUUUUUGGGUCUUAAAUGUUUACAGCUUUCAUUUCCAUAUCUUAGGUGUCGAGUUUGCUCAAAAAGAGAAGCACGUUUAACGUACAAUCAGAUGCAGUAGGAAUUAUUGAUGGUACACAAGAAGGUUCUUAUUUAUGGGUAUGACAUACACUGAACUAAAAGUGUUGUUUAUAUUCUAUUUUUCUGAUAAUAUAUUUGUGAGUAAAUAGACAAAUUAAUCUUUACAAUUAUUAUAAGUAUUGAUUAAAAUAUUAUUUGGUUUUUGAGAACGAACUAUAAGCAAAAGUGGUAAUUAAAUGGUUAAUGUAUGAGAGAGUAUAAUAUAAACUACAUACAUCAUUGAUUGAAUGAAUCUAAAAGUCAAAAUUUACUUAUAUUAAAAAACGGAGGGAGUAUCUUAUUAAUGAGAAUAUGUUGUUUGGUGAAAAUGAGAAUGUAAUGUGGAAUGAAAUUAAAAACAUUGUUGAAAAUAUUUGUGUUUUACCUUUUUAAUGUUGGAAACAAAAAAUUGUAUUGUCUCGAAAAAAAACCGCACCAAUCGAUCCAACUCAAACCACAUUGGUUUGGUUUGGUUUGGUUCGGAUUGUAUUUUAAAAGUCAACCGAAUCAAACCAAACCGCAUGUUUUUUUAUCUUGCAGUUCGGAUGACUUUUAACCUCAAAACCGAACCAAACUGCACCGCGAACACCCCUAGGUAAAAGGUAGUGAUUUUAGCACGACGUCCAAGAUGUGAAUUUAUUCUUCACAUUAAAUGUUGAAACUUACUAUAAAUACAAUACCCUAAAAAAAUUUCAAUAAUAUCUGUCAAUAAUAACCGAUACAAAUCACACCGCAAAAACCCCUGCUACAUGAUAAAAUUGUUGCAGCGAAACCAUUUUAUUUUAUUUUUGAUAGAGUAGUGGAAACAAUUUGAAAAGUGCUUUCCUAACCUUGCAACAUUUGUGUAGGUGACAAUUAACUAUGUUUUGGGAAACUUGGGAAAAGAUUUUUCAGAGACAGUGGCAGUAGCUGAUCUUGGAGGGGGAUCAGUUCAAAUGGUAUAUGCAGUCUCAAGAGAACAAGCAAAAAAAGCUCCACAAGUACCUCAGGGAGAGGAUCCAUACAUAAAAAAGAUUGUACUUAAAGGAAAGAAAUAUUACCUCUAUGUUCACAGGUUUUAUUCUUAUUCUUGGAUAUAAAUUACCAUUUACCAGUGUGAAAAAAUGUUUAGAUAUAUAUAUGUCUUGCUAAUGUUUAUUUCUUUCAGUUAUUUGCGGUUUGGCAAAGAAGCAUCUCGUGCUGAAAUUUUGAAAGUCACUAAUGGUUCUCCUAAUCCUUGCAUUUUAGCUGGCUAUCAUGGUAAACACACGCAACUUCAUUGAUUUACACAUAUCUUUCUAGCAUAAACCAUUCUUAUAACAUGAACCUUUUUAUUCUGCAAAGGCACAUAUACAUAUUCAGGAGAGGAGUAUAAGGCAUUUUCUCCUGCUUCUGGCUCCAACUUUGAUGAAUGCAAAGAGAUAAUUCUUAAGGCACUUAAAGUGAAUGAUCCAUGUCCUUAUGGGAAAUGUAGUUUUGGUGGGAUAUGGAACGGUGGAGGAGGAAGUGGGCAGAAAACUCUUUAUGUUACAUCAUCAUUUUAUUACGUGCCUACAGGGGUAUGUAUCGAGGAUUUCAUGUCGGAUUUCAUGACAUUCACUCAUUUGAUGACCAUUUGAUCAGAAUAGGCAUUUUUUGAACUGGAUCUUGAUCGAACUUCGACUAAUAUUAUUUGUACACGUGUAGGUUAAUAUUGCUGAUCCAAAUAAGCCCAAUUCCAAAAUUCGUAUCGAGGAUCUGAAAACUGGAGCUGAGCAAGUCUGUAAAACAAAAUAUAAGGAUGCCAAAGCCACAUAUCCACUUAUUUAUGAGGAUAGUCUUCCAUAUGCAUGCUUGGAUCUUAUUUACCAAUAUACAUUGUUUGUUGAUGGAUUUGGUAAGUUUGCAUGCUUGAAAUUGCAUUCACUAUUAUUUUACUGUCAUAUUCAAAUUAAGAUGACAUACUCAAAAAUAGGAGCAUACCUCUAGUAUUCUUAGGCAACCUAAGUUAAUGUCUUUUAAGUUAACAAAAAACAUCUAUUUGUUGACGCAGGCCUAGACCCAUUGCAAGAGAUUACCGUGGCAAAUCAAAUUGAAUAUCAAGAUGCCCUUGUGGAUGCAGCAUGGCCUCUAGGCAAUGCAAUAGAAGCUAUAUCAUCAUUGCCCAAAUUUGAUCCUUUCAUGUACUACUUUAUUUAAGCUUCUAGAAUUAAAUAUGGGAUACUUUAGUGUUAAACACUAAGAGCUGUAUCAUCAACACUCUCUCUAAUACCCACUAUCUUAUUAGUUUAUAUCAUUGUGGUCUGCAUUUUGAAAAUAGAAGACAUACAUUGAUUCCAUUCGACAAAAGAGUGGAUGUUAUACAGGGUGUUCAAACGUAAGUGUUGCCAACAUUCUUUAUAAAAUAAACAUAAAACAUCUAAUUUUUCAUUAAUUUUGUUGCAUAUGGCUCGCUUAUGUUAUGGUUAAAAUAGUAAAGCAGAGCAGUUGUUGCAACAUCAAUCAAAUUUUGCUUUAAAUUAAUCAAUUAUCAAUGGCGUCGACCACGUUGGAGAUCCGAAGACAUGAGUAUUUUAGAUACUUGAAUAUAAUCAUAUGUGUAGACUUUUGUACUUUGUCAUUUUGUGCCAUUAACAUAAAUGUUGUGAAUUUGUUCGUAGAUUCAUCCUUUUUAAUUUUAGCAAAUAUACAACAUUAUUAAUUUAAAUGAAUGAAUAUGAUUUAUUUUUGUAAAAAUAAAAUAAAAAUAAUGUGUAAUGAAACGAAGAUUUUAUGCAGAUCGUCCCAUUGGAGUUGCGGGGAAAUUGUGGAUCUUAUAAUAUAUAUUUCAUCUCUAUGUAAACUUUCCUUUUUGUUCAGAUAAGUAUUCUUCGUUUCUAUGUUAAAAUUUAAUAGGUAAAAUCUCUUAUCUUUUUUUUUUUUAACUUUGUUUCCAUUCUUUUUUUUUAAAUCUAAUUUUUGUGGAAUGAUUGUCAUAAUAUUCUACUCGUUUUUGAAAAAUUUCAUUAAAAAAUAUGAAGGUUAGAUAUGAGAUGACUCGGCAAAUACACAUCUUUAAAUGACUCGACAAAUACACAUUUUUAAAUAGCAUCAUCGUCAAAUAUCACAUCUUUAUAUAACACAUUUUUAAAUCACACAUCUUCAAAUAGUAUAUCUUUAUAUAACACAUUAUUUUCACAUCGUGGAAUAACACAUCAAUUUCACAUCAUCAAAUAAUUCACAAAUCACACUUAAUUAAAUAAUUCCUCAAUUAAUAUCUAACCAAUUCAAAAGAUAUGAUAAUGAAAAUAACAGACAUUUAUUCAUGCUUUUGAUCAAUUGAUAAAAAAAAAAAAAUGAAAAUCAAGUAACAGUUAGAAUAUCACAUGGAAUUUAAAUAAAAUAGACAUGGCAACCAGGAGCGAGCACGGCAAUAUGAAUUGAAUGGAACAACAACGUGAAAGAAACAAGUAGAAAAUAUAUGGGUCACGGCUGACAGUAAGGAUCAAACAACUCUUUAAUUGAAAUUGAAACAGGGAGGCAAGGCAACAUCAAGUAAUUGAUUUGGAUUCGCACGACACAUUUAUGAUUUUCCAACAAUUAAAACUCAAUUUAACAGCUACGAAUUCAUAAACAAUACGACAACAACAAUAAGAAGUAACACGCAGGAGUAAUAAGAUUAAAGUACACAACAAGCAAUUAGAGCACAAAUUUUAAUUUAAACAUAGAUUCAUCAAAUAAGGAAACAACAAAAAAUAACAACCUGUCACUACCCAUAUGUUCAUACAACCUUAUGAUGAAUAUAACUCCCCCCUUACCUCUAGUUUUGCGAAAUUGAUGAUUUCCUACGUUGAAAUCUCUCUAAGUUCUUCUGGCUAUUCCUCUUUGCCUCUUCUCUCCAUAGUCGGUAACCCUUUUUCUCUCAUUCUCUUCUCUAUUUAUAAGCUUUAAUAGAGUUUGUUAUCAAUCUUUUUAUGUUAAUAUAUGUCCUCUAGAUUUGUUACUAAUCUUUUCAUAUUACUAUUUGCACCUCUAUAUUUUGUUACUAUUAUUUCUGUAACUACACUGUCUUGCUAUUCACACUCCCCUCUACUUAAAUCAUUAAAGUACUACUCAUCUCACUAACUACACCUCUUUUCUUCCCAAUUUUACUGAUCCUCCCGUUCUCACUCUAAUUUCUUAUUUUCUCUACAAAAAAAAAAAAAAAAAAACUCUAUUUUCCUUCUAAAUAUUAUUUUCUCUCACUCUUUAAAUGACUAAUCAACCCACUCAUUACCUAUUCUUCCAAUAAAUACGAAUAUUUAAAUUAAUACUAUCUAAAAACAUAUACUAAUACUAACAUUAAUACUAAUAUUAUCUAAAAUUAAUAUUAAUAAACUAAUAUUCAAAAUCGAGGUGUUAUAAAUGAUGUAAGACGAAUGAAUAAGACGGAAAUAUCAGUAACACGAUGUCAAUAUCAAACUCCCAUAUAUAAAAUAUGCACCAAUUAACAAGGACAAUAUACUGCUUUUUCUUUUAGGGAAGGAAAACAAUACUUCUUAUUAACUUAAGCUGGAAGCAGAAACCUAUGGUCAAUAUGCAACUUUGAUAAAAUACCACAAAUAUAUAAAUAUCCAAAGAGCUUUGUUAAUAAAAUAUAUACACCAUCCGGUUAUUACUACAAGCAAAAAUUCACAUUUUAGGUUCAUUCAGUAAAUGAUGUCAACAUAUAUCAUUUAUCGAAGGGUUAAUAGUAUUUUACCCCCUGUAAUAUAGGUCAUUUCCAGUUUUCACUUCUUUAAAAUUUUCUUUUUAGAUUCCGUCCUUGUAAUUUGAAGUUUUUUGGUUUUGGACCUUCAUGAAUUUUAACUGUACAAAAUCGAUGAUAUGGCAGGGGGUAAACCGAAAUUUUUUCAAAUUGCAAGGGGGUAAACCGAAAUUUUGUCAAAUUACAGGGGAUAAAAUUUUUCAUGAAGGUCUAAAACAAAAAAAUCUUCAAAUUACAAGGACGGAAUCCAAAAAAAAUAUUUUAUAGGGGGAAAACCGGAAAUGACCUAUAUUACAGGGGGUAAAGCAUUAUAAACCUUUAUCGAAUGAACCUAAAAUAUAAAUUUUUGUGUAUAAUAAUAACAGAAAGGACUAAAUGUACUAACAGUGAAAAACUUAGAAAACCGAAAUAAAUCAAUUUUUAGUUAGAGUACCAAUCUGAUACCAAUUUAUAGAUUAUGGGGCAGCGAUGAUUGUGAGUGAGAGUUUUUACCUUCUGAGGGGAAUAAUGGUGGUAUUCUCUCGAUUUGGCAUAAAUCUAUGUCGACGGUGCAUUAUACGUUUGUGGGAGAAGGUUUUGUCGGAUUAUCGUUGGAGUGAGGGGUUUUAAAGCAUAGGUGUGUUAUUAUAAAUGUUUAUGCAAAAUGUGAAUCGGUGGCCAAGAGGCGGUUGUGGGAGAGAUUGUUGUUGGCUAGAAGAAAUUUGGGGAAGGGGCAUGGUGUGUUCUUGGAGAUUUUAAUACCGUAAGUAGUAGGGAAGAAAGAAGGGGGAUUCAUGAUGAUGCGUCCACAAGUCAAGUUUUAGAUAUGGAUUUCUUCAUUAGAUUUCUAAUCGAAGUGGAGUGGAGUUGGAGGAUCAAAUGGUGGCAGGGAGAAGGUUUACUUGGUAGCACCCUAAUGGUCGGUCAAUGAGCCGGAUUGAUAGAGUUUUGGUGUCGAAGGAAUGGAGGCAUUUUUGGGGGGAUGUGAAUCUUUGGGUCCUUCCAUGGGACGUUUCUGAUCAUUGUCCUUUUCUCCUAAAAGUGAAAGGUUGGGAUUGGGGCCCAAAACCGUUCUGUUUUAAUAAUUUUUGGUUGGAUAAUGGUGAUAUUAAGAAGAUGGUGGAAGAAGUUUUGAGGUCGAGUAAUUUAAGUGGGUGGAUGGGGUAUCUUUUGACGGACAAACUCAAUUCUUAAAGGGAAAUUGAGGGAGUGGAAUAUGGGGGUUUGGAUGACCGGGUGAAGAGGUUGACGGAGGAGAUAGUGGUGUUGGAUGUGUGGGGGGAGGUUGGAGGUUUAAAUGAAGAGGAAGUUCAACUUAGGAAGCUUAAGUUUAGUUCACUUUGGAGGUUACUAAAGGCAAAAGAUUCUUUAUUGGUUCAAAGAUUACGAUCAAGGUGGCUAAAGGAGGGGGAUGAUAAUACUAAGUUCGUCCACAAUUGUAUUAAAUCUAGAGUAAAUGGGAAUUGAUAGUGCGGUUGGGUUUUCCUAGGAAGUGGGUGGCUUGGAUGAAAGCGUGUGUGUGUGGUGGAAAUAUGUUCGUUCUUGUAAAUGGAAUCCCAAUGGAAGAAAUUUGCAUUCAAACAGACCUUAAACAAGGAGAUCCCCUAGCUCCGUUUUUAUUUCUCCAAGUGGCGGAAGGCUUCAGUGGCUUGAUGAGGAAUGCGGGUCGUUUGGAGUUGUUCAAGGGUUUUGGUUUCAUGAGAGAUGGUAUGGUAAUCUCUCACCUACAAUAUGUGGAUGAUACUAUUUGUAUAGGCGUGGCAACUGUGGACUUUGGACUUUGAAAGCAAUGUUGACAGGUUUUGAAUUGACAUCGGGUUUAAAGGUGAAUUUUUCUAAAAGUUGUUUGUUGGGAAUUAAUGUUUCUGGCGACUUCAUGGAGAUGGCGUGUAAUUUUUUUAAUUGCACGGAGGGGACGUUGCCUUUCAAAUACAUGGGCCUUCAAAUUGGAGCAAAUCCGAGAAGGAUGUCGACUUCUCAACAAACUUAUUUUUUAAAUUAUGCUUGCCAUUCAUAAUCUUAAAAACUUACAAAAUUAUUUUUUCAAUGCAAUAUUUAUUUUUUAAUUCCACUUUUAGAUCUUUAUCUUGUGCCCUGGUUAACCUUUUUCUUUCUUUAUAUAUAAUAUAUAGAAUAGAUGAUACCCUCGUAAAGUAAUUGCAACUUAUAGAACCUAUUUUUAUUUUUUUUUGAUAGAAAGUAGGGAAACCAAUUUGAAGAGCACUUUCCUAACCUUGCAACAUAUAUGUGUAGGUGACAAUUAACUAUGUUUUGGGAAACUUGGGAAACACACAAAAGGAUUUUUCAGAGGCAAUGUCUGUGUUGGAAAAUGUUGUGGUGGAAUUGGGAAACACUUUGAGUGUUGCAUUAGGUGAUAUUGGAGGGGGAAUAACUAUUGAUGCAGUCUCAAGAGAGCAAGCAAAAAAAGCUCCACAAGUACCUCAGGGAGAGGAUCCAUACAUAAAAAAGAUUGUACUUAAAGGAAAGAAAUAUUACCUCUAUGUUCACAGGUUUUAUUCUUAUUCUUGGAUAUAAAUUACUAGGUAGUGUUAAAAAUAUUUAGAUUUAUAUAUAUAUAUAUAUAUAUAUAUAUAUAUAUAUAUAUAUAUAGGACAUAUCAAAUGAGAGCACUCUUUAUCAUGAGAGGAUGAGAGGGUUAAAUCUCAACCCUUGAAUGUAAAUAAAUGGUCGAGAUUAAAAUACUCCUUUUUUCCAUUCACAUGCAUUCUUUUCCUAUUUGUGCUCACCCUUGGACUUCCUGCAUGCUUUCAUUCCCAUUCUUCAACAAAUCCAUCGUCUUCUUUCACAAAGAAAAUUAAUUCAUGGAUUUAGAAAGUUGAAUUUCUUCUUAGUAGCCUACAUCUAUGUUUCAAUUUUGAUAUUAUAUACUUCUUUUCAAUUCUUCCUUUAUUGUUCUCUUUGAAGACGGGAAUCAACAACAAAUCAUCCUAAUAUGUUAUAAAUUAUUGUUAUGGUUUUAGAUAUAUCAAUUGUAAACCACUUGUUUUUCAACUUCAGAUCUGGCAGGAUAACAACCCAGAAACAACAAUGGAUUUUCACCAUUUUUUCAAAACUAAACCUCAUUCUGAUUUAAUUUUUAUAAUUGAGAAAUUCAAAUAAUCAGAUUUAAUUUUAUGAUGGAGAUGAAGUUGAUGAUUGAUGUAAAGCUUGAGGAAGCAAUUUUAAAAAAGAUGAAAUUGAAGAAUUCCAAUAAAAUAAAAUAAAAAGCAAUUGGGAAAGGUGGGGGUGUCAUAUAUAUGAAGCGGUGGGUAUAGAACCUAAAUCGAAACACCGAUUCACAAAAUUGAAAAGAAUUCCAUCAGAACCUUCUCAAAUCUCUCACAACCAUAUAUGUUUCUUUUCAAUUAGUGUUUUGUUCGACGGAACAAGGAAGGAGUUAUUGUCAAUUGCCAAUUGCUAUUGAGAUUUGAGAGAGAACAAGGAAGGAGAAACGUUUGGGACGAAGCAAGCGUGGAAAGAAAAAAUAAAGUCACUUGCCAUUUAAAGUGCACCUUUUAAUGUGAGCCAUUCAUUUUAAUUUAAGGGUCAUUAUUUAUUCCUCUCAUCCUCUCAUUAUAACACUCCUCUCAUUUGAUACACCCUAUAUAUAUAUAUAUAUAUAUAUAUAUAUAUAUAUAUCAUUUGCUAAUGUUUAUUUCUUUCAGUUAUUUGCGGUUUGGCAAAGAAGCAUCUCGUGCUGAAAUUUUGAAAGUCACUAAUGGUUCUCCUAAUCCUUGCAUUUUAGCUGGCUAUCAUGGUAAACACACGCAACUUCAUUGAUUUACACAUAUCUUUCUAGCAUAAACCAUUCUUAUAACAUGAACCUUUUUAUUCUGCAAAGGCACAUAUACAUAUUCAGGAGAGGAGUAUAAGGCAUUUUCUCCUGCUUCUGGCCCCAACUUUGAUGAAUGCAAAGAGAUAAUUCUUAAGGCACUUAAAGUGAAUGAUCCAUGUCCUUAUGGAAAAUGUAGUUUUGGUGGGAUAUGGAACGGUGGAGGAGGAAGUGGGCAGAAAACUCUUUAUGUUACAUCAUCAUUUUAUUACGUGCCUACAGGGGUAUGUAUCGAGGAUUUCAUGUCGGAUUUCAUGACAUUCACUCAUUUGAUGACCAUUUGAUCAGAAUAGGCAUUUUUUGAACUGGAUCUUGAUCGAACUUCGACUAAUAUUAUUUGUACACGUGUAGGUUAAUAUUGCUGAUCCAAAUAAGCCCAAUUCCAAAAUUCGUAUCGAGGAUCUGAAAACUGGAGCUGAGCAAGUCUGUAAAACAAAAUAUAAGGAUGCCAAAGCCACAUAUCCACUUAUUUAUGAGGAUAGUCUUCCAUAUGCAUGCUUGGAUCUUAUUUACCAAUAUACAUUGUUUGUUGAUGGAUUUGGUAAGUUUGCACUAUUUGAAGUUUUUUUUACAUAUGUUUUCUGGCAAUAUAUAUUAUUGACUUAAAUAUCUUUUGUAAAAUAUAUUAUUUACUUAUGAUCUUCUGUAAUAUAGGUCAUUUUUAGGUUUGUCCCAUGUAAUUUUUGUUUUGUUUUUGUCUUUGUAAAAAAAAAUUGUUUCAAAAUACCCCCUAAUAAGACAUUCAAAAACCAAAUUUUUUGAAAUUUUUUUUCUGAAAAUGGCCUAUUAGAGAGUAUUCUGAAAAGAAAAAAAAUUAUAAAUAUGAAAACCAAUUUUUUUUACAGGAAAUAAACUAGAAAUAACUUAUAUUACAUGGGAUAAAACACAAUUAACCCUAUUCUAAUAUUCUUAGGCAACCUAAGUUAAUCUCUUUUAAAUUAACAAGAAAAAAACAUCUAUUUAUUGACGCAGGCCUAGACCCAUUGCAAGAUAUUACCGUGGCAAAUCAAAUUGAAUAUCAAGAUGCCCUUGUGGAUGCAGCAUGGCCUCUAGGCAAUGCAAUAGAAGCUGUAUCAUCAUUGCCCUUCUAGAAUUAAACUUUGGAUAGUUUAGUGCUAAAGACUACUUUAGCCAAUAAAAUAAAGAGCAGUGUUAUUAACCGACGACAAACACACGACUUAUUAAAUAAAUGGAUGGCACACACAACAUAGGAGAAAGAAUAAAAGCAGCGAUGUGUAUAAUAUGUAUCCAAUUGUUUUAAUAUGUCGUGCCCUAUUAGUAUUUGUAAUAGAGUAAUGAUACAUAGACACCCCUUAUUCUCAUACACCCUUGUACACCCCAUGUAUUAGGAAGAGAGAAGAGGAGAGAAAAGAGAAAGUGUGCUUGUGCGGGGUCCACGUGACUACGUGUUAGAUUUUUGUGUGGAUGUUAAAGGAUGUAUUGUCAUCUAAGAGUGUCUAUGUAUCAUUACUGUUGUAAUAUGUCGUGCCAACAAGCAAUAUCCUAAAAUAAAAUAAAAAACAUCUCAUUUUUCGUUGCAUAUAUGGCUCACUUUGAAUUUUACUUCUACUUAUUAAGUUGAUCUUUAAAUUACAUACGCUACAUGAGCACGAACCUUAAGAGAAAUUUUGUGGAAAUUUUCACUUCAUUUUUUUAGUGGGGUUAAUUUUUUACACAAGUAUUACUAGACAUAUGUGCAGUUUACAAGCAUGCGACGUUACCACCAAGAAUGAGUCAAUCGAAACCAUGUAGCUUAUGUUAUGGUAAAUAGUAAAGCAGUGUAGUUGUUGCAAACAACAAUCAAAUUUUGCUUUAGAUUAAUCAAUUAAUGUGUAACAGAAACGAAGAUUUCAGUGGUUUUUCAUGCAGAAUUAGUUACAAACAUAUAUCUAAACAAUUUGGAUCACCAAACUCAACCUAAUAGACCUGAAGCCGCUAUUUAAACAUUAUUUAGAGUAUCUUGGUCAUAUGAUUUGAAAACCAAUAUUUUCCUUCAACCGUCACAGCUCUAGUGCAUCAUGUUUCCUCUUUGGUUGUUUGUUUGACUCCCUUUCGUCCCAUUGGAGUUGUGGGGAAAUUGUCAAUCUUAUAGCAUCUAUUUCGACCUUUAUUUUUGUUAAGAUAAGUAUUCUUUGUUUCUAUUUUAAAAUUUGAUAUGUAAAAUCUCUGGUUUUUUUAACUUUGUUUCCAUUCUUCUCAGUGGGGAUAAUCUCAAGAAAUGAAUGUUAUUUGAACAACUAUUUUUUAGGAUAAUUUAUGAGACAACCAAAAUAUGCAAAUUAAUGUAUGGAUUGACACAAAAAUCAAAGCAAUAGAGAGAGAAGGUUAAAACAAAAUGUGAGUAUGAAAGAAAAAAAAAAUUGUUACAAAAUGGUUGUUCAAAUAUUAUUUCUUGUCUCAAGAACAUAAAACAACAUCAUGGGUCAGGCUCCGUCUAUGGUGGGCGACCUUAAUAGGUCCCCCACCGUAGGAGACAUGGUUUUUUCUUCUUUCUUUUCUUUUUAAAAUUAAUAUGAAUGGUUUUUUCUUCUUUCUUUUCUUUUUAAAAUUAAUAUGAAUCGAUGGAUAAGGGUUAACCAACCCUUGGAUCAAAAUGCUUACUAUACACCUCCAACACUCAAUCCGGCGUUGUUCUGGUUAGACAUAUAAUUAAGGACAACCGAAAUUAUGUAUACAAGGUACCCGCAUAUAAAAUUUACCACGAACCAAUACAUGAUCAAUAUCUUAAUGGGUACACACGAAUAAAAACAAAUCAUAUUUUAAGUAACCGUAAAUCAAUAGAUGCACAUGCCAUGAAAUAAACAAGAUUUAGGCCAAAAAAAAAACUUUUUUUUGACAAAUUGGAUUUAUUAAAAUUAUUAACACGAAUAGAAUACAAUAAACAUUUUAUUCUAUAUAUGUUAAUAAUUUUACUAAAUCCAGUUUGUCAAUUUUUUUAUGAAAUCAGGUUAAUUUUAUCUGCAUGUGCAUCUAUUAAUUUACGGGUACUAAAAAUAUGAUUUUUUUAUUCGUGUGUACUCAUUAAGAUAUUUGUGUUAUAUCUAUUCGUGGUAAAUUUUAUAUGCGGAUACCUUGCAUACAAAAUUUUGACCGUCCUUAAUUAUAUGUUUACCCCGGACUAUGCCGGAUAAAUACAAUACUAAUUUAGUAUAAAAGAAAGCAACUGAAUGUUGAAGGUGUGUAAUAAACAUUUUAAUUCAGAGGUUGAUCAACUUUUAUCCAAUAGUUUAUAUUUAUUUAAAAAAAAAAACUAUGUCUAGGAAACCUAUUAGGAAAAAGAUUGAUAGUGCGACAAAUUACCCACAAAAAAACAACGAAUAGAUAGUGACCGUUGGAUCUUGCAUUAGAUUGAGUGUACUUUGAUUUUCAUAUAUUUGAAAAAAUAAUACCACUGCCACAUGAUUCGUGUGCCAGUCGCACUGUUAUUUCUCGCAUCAAGUAGCAACUCUCAACCUAUUAAGGUAGCCACCGGAAACGGAACCCAUGGGUCGGCCAUUACUCGAAGAUAUAAUAGCUGACAUCAUAAUAACGAAGCAAUUGGUGUCCAUUUAAUAAUAAGUUUAAUAAAGAGAAAUGACAUAUAUACUACUACUUUAAAACAACUCUCUUUUAUAAUUUUGUUGUGUCUUUGCAUUCUAUUUCUUUUAAUAAAAGUUAAGAAAAAAUUAUUUUAAAAGUUAUCACACAAGUAUGAUCGGUAUUCUUUAAUAAAACACAAAAUAGUAUGUAGAGAACCUUCUUUGAUGGGUGUCUUAAUCGAAUAAAAGCAUCUUUGAAGCAUAAUUAUUGAAGUCAAAGAGUUGUAGAUAAUCAUAACCAUUUUUUUUGUCUACUAUAUCGUGGCUCACUCCAGCUUUUGGUAUUCGUGGACAUGGUAACUUCUUUUUGUAGUAUAAGCUAUAGUAAAUUCUCUAAUCUUUUGAAUGCCUCCAAAGAAAAACUACUCUAAAAUUAUCACGUUUCACAUGGUUUAGGUCUUUUGUGGUGUUUGUAAUUCGGUUUGCAUCGGUUUGAAUAAUAAAAAGUCAUCUAAUAUAAACAUUAAAAUAAGACGAGUUUUCUUGACAAAAAAAAUAAUUAAAAAGACGAGUUCUUUUAAAAAAAAUAUUAGCGAAAAGACGAGCGCUCACAGGUUUACUGUGAAGUAUGUCUCCAAAAAAAGACGGAUGUCUUUUAAAUAAUUUUAAACGUACUCUUGUAGAUAACAUACAUCUCAUUCAUGGGAAGCACUUCAGUGCCAUUGUGCCAUAGGACCAAUCAUAUUUUGACACGUGUCAAGGCUUAUUAAAAUAAAAUAAAAUAAAAACUGAAAAAGGAAGUUUAAACUGUAAAAUGCAGUUAUAAAAGUGGACUGAUGUAGCAAAAUAGUGUAAACUAGUUAGUAAUUUUGCACUAACAAUUCAAAUCCUUUAUAUACAUCAAUUAAUUGUGCAAUAUUGUAAAGAUAGGCUAAGCAAGCUUUAUUUUGUAACAGAUUGGUGUUGUUUCAGCACACGGUCCUAACUCCUAACAAACUUUGGAGUAACCAAUUUUGUUUUCCUGAAAUACAAGAACAGGAAGACCUCACUUUCCCUUGUUUUCUCUCUUUUUCUAUGAUAUAGCAUAUUGCUAAAAUAUGCGGUACACCAAUGGACAAAAAUCUAAACAAAGCCCCUACAGCCAUCCUAAUUCUACCAAAGUCCAAAGGUAGUGAUGAUGCUAACAUAUACAACAAAGUAACAGAGGAUCCCAGCCACAAGCACAGCCACAUAAAGGCACAACAAAGCACCAAAAACCUCUAAAACCCAGCCUAGUAUAUCCCAGCCUCAAAACCAGCCCCCAAGUUAUGGAUAUUGUGCACAAAAAACACAAACAGCUGACCAAAACCAGUCGCGCAAAAAACACAAACACAAACUUGUUAUAUUAGUAUACCAUUAUUCUACAAUUGAUUCAAAACAGCACCAAUACCAUUGUUUUCAAUCAAGAGUAACCAUUGUUAUGAAGAAAUCAUGACAAAGCAUAAUACUAACCAAAAAAUAAAUUGAAAAAAAAUGAUUUAAUUGAUGGAUAAAACUUAAUUUCAUAUACACAUUGAGAUCCAAAUUACAUGAGAGAGACUUAAUCUAAUAUACAUGUAAUCAAAAUCUGACUUGAUUGAAUACACAUAACAAGAUCUAAGCCUUCUUUAGAGACUUUCCUUCCCAAUAGCAGCUGUCCAGUUUUCUUGUUCAAAAUCUUUCAAACAGAUCCAACCUCCCUGCAACCCUUGACACACCAAAAAUCAUCUUGAUAAGCCAAAAAUCUUAUUCACCAAAACAACAUGGAUUCAAUCGAAUACGAGAUUGAGAAGGAGGGAUGUCAAUAGCCGUCGGAGGGCGAUGGUUGAAGGUUAUGGCGGCGGACGGCGAAGAAAACCGGUGGUGGUUUCUGAAUCGCGUUUUCUGGAAGCGAGAAAGAAAACUUGCGUUUUCUGUUUUCUAGGAACCAAAACCGGAGGGCGUUGUGUUUUAUUUCAUUUAAACUUGCUUUUUCAGUUUUUUUAUUAUUAUUUUAAUAAGCCUUGACACAUGUUAAAAUAUGAUUGGUCCUAUGGCACCAUAUUACUAUUGCACUGAAGACUGAAGUGCUUCCCCUCAUUCAUCAACAAUAUGGGGUUGGUUGAUUGGAAUCAUGUUCUAAGAGAAGCAAAUCAAGUGGCAUACCUAUUUGCGAAACAUGGGUUAUCUUUGAAUGAUGAUUUAAAGAUUUUUAAUUUUGUUCCUAGUUUUAUUUCUUUGCCUUUGUUGACAAUGGAUUUUUAAAUACAACUCUUACUGGAUUUGUUUUCUCUAGUCAUAUGUUGAACAUAAAUAAAGAAUUUUCAAUUUUAUUUUUUUUAGAGUGAUCAAUCAUCCUAGAAAAGCUUCUUCUAUUACUCAGGUGGAUCGGAAAGCUAAUCUUUGUAAUUGAUUUAACGGUAAUAUAUUAUAAGGUGUUUCGGGCUUCCUGAAACCUUCUUCUUGUCGUGGCAUUUUCAGGAUUUUAGAGUUUUAAUUGUGAUUGUGAGAAAAACACAAGAAUGGAUUAAAUUGUGUUUACGGAAGGAAGGAGGGAGGGAGGGAGGGAGGGAGGGAGGGAGGGAGAGGGAGGGAGGGAGAGAGAGAGAGAGAGAGAGAGAGAGAGAGAGAGAGAGAGAGAGAGAGAGAGAGAGAGAGAGAGAGAGAGAGAGAGAGAGAGAGAGAGAGAGAGAGAGAGAGAGAGAGAGAGAGAGAGAGAGAGAGAGAGAGCAAUUGUACUGGUUUCACCUACAAUCCAAUAGUCAGGCCCGGCCUUGAGGGAGUGCAUGGUACUCAACCAAGCCAGGCCUAAAAAAAAAUUAAAUCUAAAACCCACCCCCACUUAAAUAAAAAAAUAUGGAGAAUGCUAAUGAGUGCCCUUGAGGCAUUGGUUAAGCUGAUAAAAUUCGUAACUUUGCAUCAAAAAAUGGUGUGAUUAUUGGCAAGACAAAAGUAAAAGUUUAUAUUUCCAAGACAGAAUUUCUAUUAGUGGAUUCUUUAACCACUGCCGUUAGGGCACUGGUUAGCAAAACCCAAAAAAUAUAUGUUACUUCUUUUUCUUUCUUCGGUACACGUUUGAGUUUUUUUUUAGACUCUAGUUCUCCUUUCUGGACAUAAAUCUGAUGCUAUCAAACCACCCCCAAUUUUUAUAAUCAUUUAAUCAGUCAAUUUAUAAAGUUAUUUCAUUGAAAGAAUCACAACAAUGAUUUCUUUUUCGCAUAAACCAUUCGUUUUCCCCUUUCCCACAACGGAUGAGUGACAAAUCCAAACGACACUGUUAGGUAAAUUUCACCUAUCUUUCACUUUUUUUUGGUUUCAUGUUUAGAAGUUCUUUUGGUUUUGAUUUUUUAAUGAAGCUUAGCUUCACAAAAAAAAUUGCAGUUUUAUUUUAUUGGAGGCCUAUUUUAAAAAGAGAGUUGAGCCUCCUAUUUUAUAGGAACAACACUUCCAGUAGUAGUCCAAUCCUCUUGCACUUCCAAGGAAUUUUCACUGUAAUCACAACUAAUUACAAAUGUUCAAGAUACAACCAAGAGACUUGCAAGUGCUCAAGCACACAAGCAAGAGACUUUCAAUGUUCAAUCACAACUGAAUGAGACAUCUAAUGCUUAAGCACAAAAGCAAAAGACUUCUAAUGAGUUUACAAAUAAACAAGAUUUGUUCUUACAUUUGAUAUAUAAUCAGAGGUGUAAACAAUAUAAAUCAUAAUUGACUUUAAGACUUAGAAUUUCUAAAAUACAAACUUUGUUGAGAAAUUCUUAAGUGUUAUAUGCGCUUUUUGAUUUGACAAAGUAAGGACACAAUUAAAAUAGUAGAGUCUUGUUAUUGUUCUUCAAGUCUUCUGCUUCUUAUAUAGGCAAGGAAAUAAGAGACGUUGGAGAAGAGUGUCAGCGCAUUUAGAGUCGCUAAGAAGCUUCAAAUCAAUAAUGUUGGGUCAUUGUCUGAUAUGGAUAAUGUCGUUGAUUAGACAUUCGAAAUUCCUUUGCUGAAACUGGAAUUAUCUGUUCAUUAUCUUUGUCCUUGAAGUUCUUUGUUUGUUUCUACAUGUGGUCAGAAAAGACAAAUUGUAUUAUCAGAUUUUGAUAGAGACAACUAUAGAAAAGGACAAAUCUGACGUGAAGUCUGAGUCCCUCAAGAUCUUUUGCACUUCAGAUUUUGGAGGUCUUAAGAGUCUGAUGUAGAUCUUCAGCUUCUGAGUAACAUCUUUUCUUCUCAUCCAAUGUGUUAACUUCUGGCUGACCUUUCUUCAGAUCUAAUACCAUAGUCUUUGAGCUUCUCUCGUGUUUCUGAUGCUCUCAUACAUGUUCAAACCUUGUUAAAUUUUAAUAUAUGAUCUCGCACACUAGAACAUUUAUAAGCAUAUCCAAUUGUUCUUUAAUAUUUUAUUAUCAUCAAAAUUUUAGAGGAAUUGUACAAACCAAAUUUGUUCCAACAAAUUGUUGGUUGUUUUUCUUUUUCAUUAAGAAUGUGAUUGCUUUUGAAGAUGAGUUAACGACUGCUAACACAACUAUUAAGUUUGCUUUUGAUAAAAGUUGAUAGGGAAAUGUUAACUUGUACCCUUAAGGCACAAGUUAAGAAGCUAAAGAUAAAAAAAAAAAUUUGGAAAUUGUGUAUUCAACAUCACAAAAGUUUAAACAUUUAUACUUUCAAUACAAAAUUAAUUAUUUAUUUCCUUUUAUAGCUCCUUAACUUAUGCCCUUAGGACAUAAGUUAACAAGACCCAAGUUGAUAUCGUCUUUGGUUAGGAUGAUAUUCCUCGCUUGUGGUAAAAACUUUUAAGAAUUUUCAUGUCUAUUUCCUCAAGAAUAAAAAAUAAUUUUAUUUAAGGGAUGAAUAUAAUUAGUUACCUCUCGUCCCGUAAGUGUAGCUCGGUUGGUAGCUACCAAAAAUAAUUUGUGCAGGAGUCAGAGUUCGAACCCCGGAUUCUCCACUUAUCCACACUUAAUGUGUGUGAAUCUAGCCAUUACACUACUUGAUAAAAAAAAAUUGGGCCUCUCAUGUAUAAACAUGUAGUACAAUAGUUACGUUGAUAUGUGGCGUUUGGUUUUCAUCUAGAAAUAAUAUUUGGGGAACUCUUUGACUUAGAUUUAUUUUACAGAAAUGUUGUCGGAAUCGGCAUAAUAUUCACUUAUGUUGUCGGAAUCAGCAUAAUCUUCACUUCUUUAAGCUUGUUUGAAAUUUUUUUCCAUGAGUUCUUUGUUUAUGUUCCACAAUGUUUGUUUUUCCUGUUUUUGAUUUUUUUUAUAAUAAAUUUUCUUAGUUAGGCCUAGGAUUGUUCGACUCUUUGGUGACAAUAUAGUUGAAAUGUAAUAAUCUCGUUUGACGUUUGAUAUUUUUUAUAAUACAUGUUCCGAAUUGAUCAAGGGUUCAAGAUCGAUGUUCGAAGAGGCUCAAAUACAUCUUUAACCCAACGAUCCAUACUGAGUGAUGCUCUCAUCAAGAAUCCACAGACCCAACGAUCCAAUUGUCAAAAGCUUUGAAUUUCAUCAAACUUGUAAUGCUUCCGACCAUAAAUGUCAUAAAACGUUCGAAGUUACAAACUCGUCGUCCGUAACACACCUUCAACGGCUAUCUUCGAUAGUCAUAUAGACGACUGUAUAAAAGAGUUCUUAAACCACAACUCAAGGUGUACAUUAUCUAUCAUUUCAAUAUCCUCCAAGUCGCAUCUCGAUGGUUGCUGCUCCAUAAAGAUAAUCACUACUCGUGUUCAAUGUUUAAUACACAUUUUAUAUAUGUAUGGCUAGAGGAUAUUAAUAAAAGUUCUUCUCAUCCUUAUCGGUUUCAUAUGUCUCUUUUCACCUUAUUUCAACGGCCGGACCUAAAUAGGAAUGAUUAAAGGAUGUCAUACGAUAUGUAAGGAAAUAAGUAACCAGAAAUAGAAUGUGCAACAUAUAUAACAUUAUGAUUCAAUGUUACAAGAUAUUAUCCAAAAUUAAUAAAAUUCAGUGUUUCAAGACCUUUUCUCUUUCCAUUCUCUAUGCACCAACUCUCGUUCCUUCUCCCCUUUACGGCCCAGAGGACCAUAACCGACAUAUUUUUGCAUAGCAUACUGUCUGACCUAACCGAUAUACCUUUGGUCAAUUAAAACAUUUCACUCGUUAAUCUUUUAGUUGAAGCAAAAUAUUAAUUGUUGCACUCAGUUUCAAUGGAACAUGACACAUAUUGAAAUUAAGACUCACUAAUUUUUUUUAUCAAAUAGUUUUAAAAUGUGGAGUAGUGAAGUAUCCGAGAUUCGAACUCUGACCUCUGCAUAUAAUAUGUAAUAUCCUACCAACUGAGCUAAGUUCACCGUCCAUAUAUUUUCAAAUUAAUUUGAAGUCCUAAAUUAUAAUUAAACGCCUGUAUUAUAUAUGAUUGUCAACAAAUCAAAACUCAAUUGUUGGCUACUAAAUUAGAAACCCCAAUAAGUAACUCAAUUAAUCAUGGAUAGAUACAUUAGAUCCAGAUGGCUCCAACCUGCAAUAUUACUUCUUUUGGCUUUGCUUUCUAUCACAAAAGAAAAAGCCAGGUGCAUUAGGUACAUGCCAAUUUCAGAAAAAAGAUAUAAAAGUUUGACUUUUCCAAUUAGGAACAUUAUCACUCUAGCUCCAUACGACCAGGACCACAACACAUUGGGAAGAAAUUUAACAUUUGGAAUAUUAUGGGAGUGACACAUAGUUGAAAACAUGGCCUGAUUUAAUUACUCUAUUAAAUUGUGGUUAAGGAUUAAAGGUAAGUGUAUACCGUUGUUGAUUUUGGUUAAUGAUUCAUGGAAGAGAUUAGAUGAAGUGGCGUGACACCAUUCUUGGAUAAUUACAUUUUAUAAAGUUGUUUGGUUUUGCUUGUUCGGGUUGGUUUUGUGUAUAACUUAUCUUAAGCUAAUUGAUUCGGAAACUGACCCACAAGAUUAUGAUGUAAUUAACUUCUAGUUUAACAAUGUCAUAACACUUAAGAAGUUAUUUUUUAAAACAAAUUUUCUAAUGUGUGUAACAUCACCAUUAAUAGUUCAUUACUUUUUCGUUAUAAAUUAUUCACUUCCAAUAUGUUGGGAAGAAAAUUUAGAGAAACUUCUAAGGUACCGUUUGGCCAUGCUUUUUUUUGGUCUAAAAGCUACUUUAAAACAAAGUUAAAAUAAAACUCUUUAAGAAAAAGGCUAAAGCUGUUUGGUUUCUUUAUUUUUUUUUAGUUCUAAAGUUAUUUUUGAGUUAAAAGCUGUUUGGCAAAAUAUUGUACAAAACUUUGAAUUUAUUAUUUUUUGAUAGUGUCUGGGGUUCGAACCCGGGACCUUGCAUAUAUUUAUGCAUUGUCUAUAAAUAAAUAAAAAACUUUGUAUUCAUUAUGAAUUAACAUAAUAAAUAAAAAAAUGUCUAAAAUAUUUUUUGAAGGGAAAAAAUGUUUAAAAUAUAAAAGAUAUAUUUUUACCAAUACUAUAUUUACUCAAUGACGUUUAUUUUGUGUAACAUGAAUACAAAUUUGUACAAUAUCUUUUCCAAUUAUACUCUAUAACAAAAUUUUGUUAUAACAAAUUUUGUUAUAAGAAUACCAUAUUUUAAUUAGUGUUGGUCAAAAAGAUAAGAAUUUAUAUUUAUAUAAUAUUAUAUUUGUUACAUUGUUGGUGUCAUUGAAAAAUAUAUGUUUAGUUUUUUUAAUAAGAAAAAGAUAUGCAUAGUUUGUUACAAUACAAAUGUGUAAAUUAUAUAUAAGUAUAAUUAUUUUAGGCAACUACACUUGUACUUUUAAUUAAAAUCAAAAUUUUAUAAAAAUAAUUAUACGCAUUACACAACACUAACAAAAAUUAUACGCAUUAGCAUAACAAAAAAAAAACAGAAAGAGGAAUAUAAAGUAUUACUCUAAACGCUAACGCGUGUGUGUAUUUCCGUGGUUGAAGAAAGGGAAUAAAAAUAGUCGGUGUCAUUCAUUGACAGCGUGAAUACAAAUAUUUGUGAGGUUGUGAUGAUUAAAAGAUAUUGAAAUUAAUAUAUAAGUGAUAAAAAGAUAAUAAGAUUCUUUAAAAAAAUAGAUAAUAAACUUAAAUGGAACCUCAUUAAAAAAUUAAAUGGACCGGUUAAAAAAAAAAUAAAAAAUAAAAAAUAAAAUGGAAGAAAAAAGUAUAUUGAAAAAAUAAAACAAAAGGUUGCCGGCGGAAGUUGAAGAGAGGUGCUUGUGAAAUAAAUUGGGGAGAAAUACUUUUUUGAAGUAGCAUUCAACAACUUUUGGUUAAAGCUCAUUCCAUUCAAUUUUAUGCAUUCUAAAAAAAGUAAUUUUUUUCGAAGGUACUUUAUUGAUAUUGUGUUUGGCCUAGCUUCUCCUUAAAAACGUAGAAAAGCUGAAAAAAAGACAGGCCAAACGGUACCUAAGACUACUCAAGUUAGGAGAAAUCGACAAAUGUUUAUUGCGAAUUUUGGCAAAUAAAAUUAAUUUGGUAUAAAUUGAAUCCUUUAGUUCACUCGAAAAAAAAAAUACGUUUUUUAGACUUUUUUUUGGGUAAAAAACUCUUUUUUUUUUUUUUUUUAAUAAUGUGCAUUUUUUAAUCAACGAGAGAAUUAAAAUCUUUUGGUUUUAACGCGAUAUUUCAAGAUCAAUAAAGGUGCAAAGAGAUGACAUUGAUUAAAGAAAAUUACUCUAGACUACACACAAGGUGGAUUAUUUUGAAACACGUUUAAUUUAUUUAUUUUUCGGUAAGUGAAUCACAUGUGAGACCUACAUUACCCCUUGAUGAAUUGGAGGUAAUUUAUUCUAUAAUGAUAAAUAUGAUUCGAUUUUGAAACAAAAAAUAUGUAGAUCAUAUGUUGAAUAAAGGAGAUGAAAAAGUUUGAUUUUCUUAAAAUGAAUAUGAUAAUUGAUUGUCAGAAGAAGAAAAAAAUCAAAAUAGCGAGGCCUACAUUAUCAUUUGAUGAAUUAGAGGUAACUUACCCCUAAUAACAAACAUAUGUAGAAGUUUGAUGUCCUAGGAAUGAAAGUGGUAUUUAACUUUUAAAAAAAAAAGAUGAAAAAAGUAUGUUUUUCUUUGAUAGAGGUAAAUUACCUCCAAUUGGGUAAUGUAUAAAAAACCAUGUUUUAAAAUCACAUAAAAUAUUGUACUCUUUCCAUUCAUAAAUACAUCUGACAGUCAAUCAUUGCAUACAUGUCCAUACAUAACUUUGAUCAUUAAUAUUUUUAAUCAUUUAUAAUAAAAAAUUAUAAAAAUUUGAUAUUUUAAAAAUAACUAUUAAGAUAAAUCGAGCAACAUCUUACACGUUAUAUAUAUAUAUAUUAUUAUUUUUGUUAGGUAGUUUAGUGGCUAAAAUUCACAUUUUUCAAGGUGAAUAAAUGACGUGUUAAACGAAGGUUUGAGAGUGUUAAACGAGAUUAAGACUCAAAUGUCACGAUCAUAUUAACAAAAGUUGAAGAAAAUAAUAUUACAAUGUGCUCUCUAUAUAUUGAACAACUAACUAUCAAUCUCUUAAGUCUAAACAACUCUGACAAACAAACUAAUUCCUAGCUGAAUUAUAUUUUGUAACACCAUUCUUGUGAAAAUUUCUCCCACAACAUUUUAGUAACUUCACUCAAAAUUGACAUGAUAACUAUUAAGAUUCAAUAGCUUGUCGAAAAAACUUGACACUUGAUUAUCAUAUAAUCAAGAAAUACUCAAAUAUAAGUGAGCAUGUCUUUUCAAAUUCCACAUGGUUGCUAUAGAAUGAAUUGAUUAUCAUAUCUUGUCUAUUUUUGGCUCUUCUUUAGAAUGAAUUAAGUGUCAAUUACAAAUUUUUUUGUUGGUGGCGAUUAUUAAUGUCCUUGGUGCAAUUUGAUCGGUAGAAAUCAAUUGUCAUUGAACAAUAAAAGUACUUCUAUAUCCAUCAUCUUUUUUUAGUCGCGAUUUAAACCCUAAACCUUACAUAUAUUAUGCAUUUUUCGACCAAUUGAGUCAAGUUCACGAGGAUCGUAUAUCUAUCAUCUAAUCAAGAAAAAUAUAUCUUGAAUCCACAAACUGAUCAUAAACCUCCUUGUUCCACUUCUUUGAAUCACUUUUGAGGACUCUCGAUUUUUUUAUGAUAAAUUCCAUCCUUAGAAAAAAUCAUAUAAAACCUUAUGCCCCAUAAAAAAAAUAAAAAAUACUUAUUGCUUUGUAAUUAAGACUGCUCUUGAGUUUCCACACACAAACUUUCCACAAAAAGAGGAUGCUCUCAAUUGGUCAACGAAUAAAACUUCACCUUUGUAGACAUGAUUAACACCACCCAUGCAAGCCAUACUUUUGAGGAUAUGGCUACCAAUUAUUUUAUUUUACAAUGAGAAAAGAGGACAAUAAUAAUGUACUCCAAAAGUUUGGAUUAUUACAUUACUAGUUUCGUUAUUGCCAUCUGGACCACUCACUUGUGUCCAUCAUUUUUUUUUUGUUACAUUUGUGUCCAUCAUUUGAGUUAUUUGUAGUUUCCGUUUGAUAAUAAACCAAUAAGCGCAGUCAAGAAAAAUAUAUCCAUGUCCAUAUAUAUUUCAUGAAUCUCAUAAAUCUUUUAGCACAAUUAUUCAAUGUAUUCUACUUUUAUUACUACCUCCGUCCAUAAAUAUAUGAGUUUUUUGCAAAAAUUACGGAGAUUAAAAAAGUUGGUUGUAUUAUUAAUUUUGUAUAUAAUUACUAUUGUUUUUACAAUUUUAUCCUUAAGAGAGAGAAUUAAUUUAUGUUUUCAACAUAAUAUUUAUUGUUGAUUGAAGAAAAAGAUGCAAAAUAAAUAAGGGUAUGUUGGUAAAGAAAUAAUUAAUGUACUUGAAAAUACCAAAGGACUCUUAUAAAAAGGGACAAAAUUUUUCUCAAAAAAAUCUUAUAAUUAAGUAGUAUAAUUUUUCGUGAUUAUAGUCGUAACUUUUUUAACAGAUAUUGCUAAUAUAAGUCCUACAUAUAUAGUUAUGUAAUUUGAACCGAUAAUUUAUCAUUAAAAAAAACAACUCAUGUGUAAUUUUUUUUGUUAUAAUUUAUCAUUAAAAAAACAACUCAUGUGUAAUUUUUUUUUACAAUCCUCAUGUUGUCAAAAUGUGAGGCCCGAUAGUGGUAGCCAUUAGAUUACGAAUAAAGAUUGGUAGACAUCCUUAAUGUGUACAUUCAUUUACACCACUCUAAAGAAUUUAAGUUAACUAAAUAUAUGGUAUGUGUGACCAUAUUUUUCAAUUGUGUGACCACUAUUUUCCAGCAUUUAGAAGCUGAAAAAUAUGGUCAUGUAACUAAAAUGCACGUGACCACUAUUUUUCCACUUAAUUAACCUAAUAAAUAGUGGUCACGCAACUAAAAAUAUGUGGUCACACAGACCAUAUAUAUAGUUAACUUAAAUUUUUUAGAGUGAUACAAAAGGGUGUAUACAUUAAAGGUGUCUACAUAUCAUUGUUGUUAGAUUAUAUCCAAGACUCUAAUCAUUUUGUAUGUUUAAGGUAUAAUUGGAAGAGAUAAGUUGAAAAUUUAAAUAAAGGGAACAAAUUAAGUGCGUAGGGUAAAAAAAAAUUGCAGAAUAUCUUGAGAUUUAUUAAGGUAUUUUUAUGAUCGAUGAGAGUAAAUAUAAAUUUGAAGAGCAAAUGAAAAAGAACAUAUUUGAGUUUUUUUAUAAAAUUUAAUAAACUUAUUGUAAAAAUUAUUAAGAGAAAAGUGAUUUGGAUCAGUCCUAAUCAUAGUCCACCUAAUAUAAUAAGACAUGGGUGCUCUAGUCAAAGUGUCAAAGCCACACGCUCGAUUAUCCCAUGUCAUACCUUAAUCCACGACCAUGAUGACAAUGGCCACCAACAUUAAAAUAUAUAUACAUGUUCUGUUAAGAUUUAAGAAUGAGAUAUCUGGCAUAUGCUUAUGUUUUUCUACAAUCUUUCAACAAAAAUUGCACUACUAUUCCUAUGACUACAGCUGGGCCAAUAACAGCACAAAGAUUUUCAUUGAAAUUCCCAAAUUACCCUCAAUGAUACCGUCAAUCAUUCUACUUUGUGGCUUCACAUGAAACGUGUCGACAUCUAAUCUUAUCAUCUGAAGAACGAUGAUGUCACAGCCGCCAUUACGCAACGAUAAUAGACUCUGGACCAAGAUUUACCAUAAACGACAAAAGUGGAAGUUGCUGGUGACAAAAAUUACAUCAAUCACACCGUAAAAAAGGUAGUAAUGCUUGUGUAAGAUUAUAACCAAGGAUUGGCCAUGUAUAUUUCGGAUAGCACUUCGGUGAUAUUGGAAUGUUGAUGUCCAUUUAAUAUUAGUCAACCAUAAUAUAUUUAUGACUAACUAACUGUUACCCAUAUAUUGCUCAAGUGUCUUUUCCUAACAAAAAACUUGAACAGAAAAAGUUUUGUUUUCAAAUUUAACUUUUAAAACAAAAAACUCAAACUCACACACACCUACUCCUAAAUUUUCACUUAUUGUAUGUUUGGAAUCCCGGCUAAUUUGUCAUUCUCGCGUUACAAGGCAAUGUCACUGCUGAAAAAUAUUACCUCCGUUCCUUUUUAAUUGUCACAUUUUAACAUUUUACACAAAUUAAGACAAUCAACAAUUGAUACCACUUUUGAUGCAAUAAGCUAUACUUUUACUAUAAUGACCUUAUUCAUUUAAUAUCUCAUUUCAUAUAUUUCUCUCUCUGUAAUAAAUAACUAAGGACAAUAUUGGUAAACCAACAUUUAAUGUUGCAUUUAACUUUGAAAAUGACAGUUAAAUAGGAAUAAAAAAUUUCUCCAAAAGUGACACUUAAAAAGGAACGGAGGGAGUAAAAACUAUAAAGUGUGGCUUCUAACGAAACGCACGUCUACGGCAAAGUAAACGCUGGGACAUACAGACACUUGGUUCUUUAAUUCAAUCUGUUCAUAUAUGAACCAUUUAAACACUCAAUUAAAGAAAUCACAUUUGUGAAUGCUCAAACCUCAACCCAAUUCACUUAAGUGCUAGUUUGCUUCCACAUCAAAACAAUACCAAACAUACUUUUACUAAGAAGCUUGGAUUUUUAGCUUUAGAAAAUCACUGUAUAUUUGUGUUGGAACGUGUUUCCAAACACAUGCUAAAAAAAGCUUAAUCCUGAACAUAAUCUCAAUUAGAGUAGAAAAUUGGAUAAUUACCGUGCCCUACUGGGAUCAUUAAACAGUAGUCAAGUUGAAAAAUAUUUGUUUAUUAAAAUGUGAAGCUUAAAGUAUGAAACGUAAGUCUAAUUAUAUAAUUUUUGCAAAACUAAUCUAAAUAUCAUUUUCUCACCAUGGAUUGGGUUUGUCAUUCAUCAUCCGUUUUCACAUUGCUUCUAUCUCCUAACUCCUAUCUUCUUUAAAAUGGACCCCACUUUUGGACAAAAUCAUGGUUCUUGGAACUGAUCUAAAUUUUUUGUCAUUCAUACCCCCUAGCCCCCUUGGCCUAAUCUCUUCCCACGUGACGACAAAAAUUCCACAACCAUAAAAUCCCUUCCUUUCUUCCAAUCCCAAAAAUUUCAAUCCUCUCUCAUUAUUUUCAUUUUGUGUAUGCUUCACACCAAGUUUGGUUUUUGUCUCUCUCUCUCUCUCUUAGCACACACCCUCAACAUUUUUUUAAUACCACAUGGGAACCCCACAGACCAAUUUGCCACCAGGUUUUAGGUUCCACCCUACUGAUGCAGAACUCAUUCUUCACUACCUUAGGAAAAAAAUUGCCUCCAUUCCCUUGCCUGUUUCCAUCAUUGCUGAAGUUGAUAUUUAUAAGUUGGAUCCUUGGGAUUUACCAGGUUUGUAUUCUAUAAAUUUAUAAGUUGAUCCAAAAUAUACGUAUGUACUUUUUUAUAUUACUUUUUUUUAAUUUAAUAAUGUGUGAUGUGGAAGGUUAAUUUACUUUUGGUUUGUUGUGGUUUCUUUAUUUUCAGCUAAGGCUUCAUUUGGUGAGAAAGAAUGGUACUUUUUUAGUCCUAGAGAUAGAAAGUACCCAAACGGUGCAAGGCCAAACAGGGCAGCUGCUUCAGGGUAUUGGAAAGCCACUGGCACUGAUAAGACCAUAGUGGCAUCAUUGCCAUGUGGAGGAGGAAGAUCACAAGAGAACAUUAUUGGUGUCAAAAAGGCUCUUGUUUUUUACAAAGGAAAACCCCCAAAGGGUAUUAAGACUAAUUGGAUCAUGCAUGAAUAUCGUCUUGUUGACAACAAUAAACCUAUUAAGCUCAAAGAUUCUUCCAUGAGGGUGAGUUUAGAUUGCGGUCGCGUCGCAAUUAAAUGUGACUAAUGCAAUAUCAAUCAUAGUCUUGCCACAGUCGAACAACGGCAUAAAAAAAACAUAAACUCUGAUGUUGUUGUUUGAUUGUGGUCACGUACUUUUUUUAGAUGUAUCUUAGACUAAUGUUAUUCUUGGAAUUAUUGUAUUUGUGCAGUUGGAUGAUUGGGUGCUAUGCCGAAUUUACAAGAAAUCAAAAUGUGCACUAACUUCAACAGAAUCAUCAGAAACUAUGGUAGGUGAAGUGGAACAUGCAGAAGAGACACAAUUCCAAGAAACCCUAUUUCCAAUCACCAAAAACACAACCUCACCUCUUCAAAACACACUCAUGUCUCAAAAAUCAGUGUCCUUUUCAAACCUAUUAGAUGCUAUGGACUACUCCAUGUUAAGCAGCUUCUUAUCUGAAAAUUCCAACAACCCAUCAGGAAUUGGAACAAGUUCAGGUUUCAACACUGAAAAUUUUAACCAACAACAAUCUUCCCAUAUCAACACUUGCAACAAUUACAUGUCUCAGAAGAAUCCUCAAUCCAACACUUUAAAGCACCAGCUUUCAAACGUAGAUGAAGACAUGUUAUACCCAUCAAAGAAGUACUUGAGUUCCUCUUGCAAUUUUCCUAACAUCAAUUCUCAGUAUGAAAACUACCUUAUGAAGCAAUCUUUGAUGAAUCAACAAUUGCUUUUAGGUCCUCAUCAUCAAUAUCAAGGCUAAUCCAAAAUACCACAAAAAUUAAGUGGUACCAAAAAAAAAAAGAUUAUGAAAUAGAAAAGUUAAGUAAGAUUUCUAGAAGUUGGGCCCACCAAAUUACACCAAUGUCAUCAUUAAGUAAGGAUUGCUAAUUUAAUAGUAGUGCACAAAAUAUAGUGUGUUCUAUUUUGUCCAUUUUAAUUUUUUUUCUAGGAAUUGAAGGAGGGGUUAGGACCUAUUUGGUAUGGAGUCAAAAGAUUCCUUAGUUGAAGACUGAAUAAAUUGUGAAAAGAAAAUAUCAAAGUUUUAUGACCUAUCAGAAAUAGUAGUGUACAAAAUGUUAAUUUGUUUGUGUGUUGUUGGGGUUGGCAAGUUAGCUUUAUGAUAUAUAUUCUGUAGAUAAGUAUUGUACUGAUUGUGAUGAUAUUUUUCAUUCUUUUCAUGGAAAAAGAAGCUACAAAUUUUUCUUUUGGAUUGUAACUAUUCGCCAUUUCAGUAUGUUAAUCUUUAUUGUUUUUUGAUGUGGAUCCAACCAAGAAUUCACUGUACAAGAAUCUUUGACUUAGUAUAAAUUUCUUAAAUUAGAUAUAAAAUGAAGGAAAAUUUAAGAUGAUAAGAUUAAGAUUGAAUUGGGGAUCCGUCACAAGAAUAAAAUGUUAUUUGAUAAGCAACUAGAAUUGCUUCAUCUAAACACUUAAAAGGAGAAAAACUAUCUCUUACAUCAAUACACAGAUUGAAAAUAAAAUACUCAUGUAUUAACCAAAUGAAAAAUAAUACUAACAAAAUUGUUAUUUAUACAUACACAUAUGAGGCACCUAUAAAUCUCAAUAAUAAGCAAAAAAAAGGCUCAAUAAGGAAUUAGAAAAACAAUGAACAUUAUACAUCUUCAAAAUAAAACAAUUUAAAUUUUAAACUAAACAUUAAUACAAACAAACAAAGGAAUAUUAAAAGGAUAUUUGACUUCACGUUUAGUGUGGAUAAAGCAUGUUGUCCCAAUGUCCCUGCCAUUUUUGGCUGUUGUUAUUCACAUGCUUUGAACCAUUACAUACAAUAUUGAAGCAAUGUAAAUGGAACCUAUAAACAAAUUUACCAAUUGAAUUUUCAAUUAUAAAUUUAUACCAGCUUCGUACAAUUUUUUCACUAUUUUAUCUUAUCUUCCUAAUGCCAAGUCCAACUUAUUUGUGUUACAUUUACACUAGAGUGUAUAAUAGCCAAGUCCAACUUUGCUACAUAUCACUUACCUCGUGUGAAUGCACACACACCAAACAAAAAUACCAACUUGACACAAAAAAUAAGAUUAAUUCUUCUUUUUCUACCAAAAACAGUGUAUGCAUUCGCAAUAUUAAUCAGUUGUAUGGAUAUAUAACUAACAAGAUUUCAUCAUUUUUAUAUUAAUAUUGAUAUUUUAGCAAAUAAUGUUAUGGUAUAUAUAAAUAGUGAGAUGUGAUUUUAUACUCUACGUACAAUGAGCAUACUUUUGUGUGAUGUAUGGCUAGAAAAUAGUGGACACUUAUAUUAUUGAGAUUUCAAUAUUUAAUUACGAGCACGUACGAUGUUUAAUUUAUUUUAACUAGGAUAACAUCAUCCACUCGAUUUUGUACUUUGGCAUCAUUAUAAUGUUCCAUGAGGAUAAUCCUUAUCUCUAUAACUGCUUCUCACGUGUUCUUGAUUAAUUAUUCUUAGUUGUUAGUGUGGAUUUUGACUCUUUAUUAACAACAUUGAUCGAAUAAGGACUAAGAACACAAUGUUAUUGCUAGCAUGUGGUCACCAAACUCCAAUUAUUUAAUCUGCUUUAUCUCUUCAACAUCCUUAACGCAUGCAAACUUUGGUUAAUAAAGUAGCCUCCUAAAUCCAAAAAUAUGCAAUUAUUCUUAUUAUAUUGCACUUUCAAGAAAGAAAUUAAUAAACAAAAGACGAAAAGUUAAUUAGCACAUGAAACUUAAUAAUAAACGAAAAGUAAGAGGUCUUUACACAAUUCACACUCACACACAAAGUAGUUGCGAACGUAAUUAACAAACGUGUGUAACUUAGCAAUCAUGUGUGUAUGAGAAGACUAGUAGAUAAGGUGGUUAAAGACUUGAAGUGUCCUAUGCAUGGAGUGGCAGCUUCAUGUGGAGGGAUGGUUUAUAAAUUAUAUAUAAGUUGGUGAGCAAGUAUGAGACAUUUGUUAUGUACAUAACUAAUUCUUUUAAGUUUCUAUGUUCUUGUUGUGAGUUAGGGGAAUGAUGGUGUAUGUAAUUGGGGAUUUUGAUUAUACUUGGGUUUGGGAGGUGUGGGGAUCUGAUAUAUUUUGAUAUAUACAGUUAGAAUCAGAUGUGGAGUCAAAUUUUUAAUCUAAAGGUCUAUUAUUGUUUGCUAAAUUUACUCGCCAUAUCUUUUAUCACUUGAUUUCCACUCGAUUUUUUGUCAAGAAUAAAAGUAUGUGUAUUUUCCUCCUCACAACAAUUCUUGAUUUUUAUUUUUCCCUCUAUAAUGAAAAUUCGCAGCAAUCCAAUUUAAAGGGGUUUCUAUUCUACGAAAACCAUAAGUUAAUUAACAACUGUUCAAUCAUGGAUUCAGGGUUAAACACCUAAAAUUCAAUCGAUAGAAGCAAACUCAUCCAAUCCAAAAUACUCUAUGUUAACUGCCGUCAUCUACAAUUGGGGUCUUUAUCACAAAUUUUGCAUAAGUUCUUAAAUGUAUACGAAAAAUUAACCAAGAUGGAAAGGAGAUACAUACAAAAAUAAUAUCAAAGGGUGUGUGGGGAUAAUUAAUCUACAAAUUUUUCGGAAGAAAACGAGGAGUAUCAUGACUAAGGGUGUAAGCGGUUUGGAUAAAACCAAUGAAUUUGAAAGUUCAAGCUAAGAAAGUAUCCGAUCUUGUCUUGUUCGGUUCAAAACUGAAUCAAUCCAAUCUAAAUUGUACUUCUUUGGUUCGGUUCUCGAUUUUUUAUUUAAACUCCAAGGAACCGUUGGACCGAACCGAUGCUAACCUCACUCUCCAUUUUUGAAAUAUUAUCCCUCCUCACACACACACACACUUAUGAUUAGGCUCAAAAUUAAAGUCCAACAUAAACUACUCUUUAAUCCAUUCACCUACUUCAAUCAUCAUCUCAUCUCAUCACUCAAACUCUAUUUUAUUUCUUCUAAAAAAGAAACCCUAGUCAUUAACCACACCUAACCCAGCGUUUUUCACCACUGCAGUGAUCGUCCAUCUGUUGGUUGGUUUUAUCAUAUUUAUGUCUUCAAACUUUUCAAAAGAUAUUGUAUCGUGAAGCAAAUAGGUGCGCUGAUACGUUAGCUAAUAUUGGAUGUAUCAUGGGAAAUGAGAUGAUGUUUUAUGAGUCGUGUCCGACUCAAAUUAACUAUUUGUUAACUGCUGAUCAAGCGGGGGUUACUUUUCCGCGCUUGAUUAAGAUGUAAUUUCUUUUUCCGGGCUUCGGUCCUCCCAUUCAUAAAAAAAAAAGAUAUCUUUUCUAUGAUACCAUUGGUUUUUUUUUUUACAGAAUUAUAUACUCCCUCCGUUCCAUUUUAAUUGAGUCAUUGACUCAUUUCACACUUAUUAAGAAAAAAUGUAUAAGUGAAAGAGAGAGAAAAAUGGUUUUGAGUGCCCUUAUCAACUAUUGGUGCAUUCUUUUUUGUCAUAAAUGCAAAGUAGAAUAUAUUGAAUUGUGAGUGGUGAAAGUAUUAUUAAUUAGUGUUAUAAUUGAAAAAAAGUACUCCCUCCGUCCCUUAAUAAAUGACACAGUUGAUUCCAUUACGCAUUCUAAUGCAUAAUUUUGAGCUUAAAUAUCUUGAAUAAUAUGUUAGAAAAAAUUAUGAAAAUUUGAUAUUUUGAAAAUACUCAUCAAGACGAAUCUAAUGACAUCUUAUACUUAUCUAUGUAUAUUAGUAGAAAAAUAUGGUCAAAGUAAGCUAGGUCAAACUUGCAAAUUUUCAAAUAGGUCAUCUAUUGCGGGAGGGAGGGAGUAAUUAAUAUUGUAUUGGAAAGUGAAAUGAGUCAAUUUUUAUGGGACAAUAUUUUUUUUUGCAAAUGGUUCAGAUUAUAGGACAGAUGGAGUACCAUUGUUUAAUGAAGACUAGAAUUAAUGUGACGAAUGAUUAAGCUAGCAAAUCCUCCAAUGCUCGCUAUAUGAUAAUUUGCACCUUUUUCCUAUAAAUGUUUCGCUAUUCCAACGAUAGAUUAACAAAUUAGUUCUAAUCAAUCUCUUGAAUAAGAACUCUCUUCUAAAAUCUCAAUCCCUUAAUCUCUUAGGCAAAAUCGAAAUUGUUGGAGGUUUUAAUGAUUUAUUAAUCUCUGAAUCAUAGCUUAAAAAUUGUUUAUCUCUACCUUAAUUAGUUAAAUUAAUCAGAUUACCUAGGUUAGAUUCAAACCCUAGGGCUAGUAUCAUUCAAAUUCUAUGAUCAAUUCAUAAAUUCAAGAUGCUAGGGUUAGUAGUCACUAGUCAGUCAUAAACAUAUAAAAAGCAUUAAACUCAAGAUAAACAAAAUAAGACUAGAUCUUCAAUGAUAAUCAAGAGAGUUCAUGCAAAGUACAAGGCCAUAUAGCUUUCAAAAGAUUCAUCUUGACUUAAUCACAAGAAAUUUAGUUACUUAUAGCUAAAGUAUAAACAAGUAAUUCAAAACAAGGAUUCAUUACAUGGAUUGGAGGGGUGACUAUGAGUUUUGAUGGUCUUUCGCCUAUUCUCCAGCUUUCUAUUCCAAAAACGUCAUUUUCUCCUUCAAAUUUCAAACCCUUGUCUUAGAAACACGUUUGCCUUUUAUAGAUUUUAAUUUUUCCUCACAAAAUCAUGUCCCAAUGCUUCCUAAUCAUGCCCCGAGUAUUGUUGAAUGAAAAGGCUCUUUCUAGACUUGAAAACAUGGCCCGAUUUAGUGAAAUUGUGGCUCGAUUUGUAAUUUCUUGUUGCUCUUUGAUUUCUAUCAAUUUCAGCUCUAGAGACUCCAAUAUUACACUAAAAUCGACGAAAAAUACAUAAAGAUCAACUAAUUUUUUUAUGGUGGUUGAGGUUCGAACCUGGACCUUGCAUAUAUCUUGGAUAUAACAAAACCAAGAUGACAUAGUGUCAUGAAUCACCAUAAUAUGAAGAUCAAAGUGAUUAUUUUUGAUUUUAUUGAGACGUUUUAGGUCGACUGAAUAAUAUGAAGAUGAAAGUGAAUAAAAUAUGACAAAAACCUAAAGACAAUCCACGUGUUAAAGCAGAUAUGCGUAUCAUCGAUUAUUCAUACAGAUUCUACGCAGUAUUUGGCCCCACACCAUAUUCCUUGAUUUCAUCAUCAUCGAUUUGUUUACAUAAUAAAAUCAAAAUUAAGCUUAACAACUAAGUAUCCAUCUUCUUCUCCCGAAUCAGAAAAAUGGAGUUCCCCUUCAAUCACAACACCUCCAACGUAACCCACACUCAUCACCACCGUCGUGACGACGACAACAACGAACAACAUUAUCCACCACCUGGUCACAACAAUUUAUCUUCCUUCAACCAACCACCACCACCACCACAUCAUCAACAACCACCUUUCUACCCUAACCCAUCAUACCCACCACCACCACAACAACAACCACAUCAACCCGAAACUCAAGUCUUCCACACCGGGCACGUGUCCCGUAAUGACAAUUUCAACAAUUACCCUCAACAACCACAACCUCACCAAGAAACUCAAGUGUUCCACACUGGACACGUGUCCCAUGAAAACUUCAACAGUUACCCUCAACCACCACCACCUCAAUCUCAUCAUCAACAACCCAGCUACGGCGCUGCGUACCCACCUGCACCACCAUCCGUACCGGAUCACACCUCCGCCCCAUUCCCAAACGCAACUGUUCACCAUGUUUCUCAUGAAACCCAUAACCCUCAUUUUCCUUCUUCCAACG
rnacentral:lncRNA from 1 species